rnacentral:lncRNA from 1 species
AUCUCUGAGUUAGAGUAAACUGUCAAGACUUAAAACUUACUUACUUUACCUUUCACCAUGGGACUUGUAACCGUCACUUCUGUCUUGAGUAGUUAAAAGAUAGAACAGUCUAGUCAAGUGUCAUGUCUCUUAUUCUUGAUCAGCUAAAGCUCUGAAGUUUUUACAGAUUUUCAAAUAAAACUCAGAGAUUCCUUGUAUGAUUCUCUCAAAUCUCUCUUUUGUGGUAUUUCUGGAUCCUUACCAAGGUAGUGAUGGUAUAUGCCUUCUCUCAAGAUAUGUAGUAUUUGUGGUAUAAAGCAUAGUGACAUUGCCUUCUCUCUCACCCUACUCUAAUAAGGCUUUAAUAUUUGGAGCUCAUAGGUGGGAGAUAAAGUAUACAUACUUUACAAGACAUUUAUUGUAUAGUCAAACCAUGGAUCCAAAGAAACAAAUCAAUAAGUCAAAUCAAGAUGUGCAUGUGUGGCGAAUGAAUGGUGUAUGGUGAUGAUGGUGAUAACAAUGGUCAAAGUCUAAUUCUACUUUUGCUCUUUGAGGGGAUAUAUACCUUCCUUGCUUUUUGAAUAGUGAGGAGAAUGAGAUGCUCUUCUUCUUUUUUUUUCUUUUCUCUCAGGUGGGUAUCUUGUACCCCUAAUUCUACUGUCGGACACUUGUCCAUUUUUACCUCUCGUCUCACUUUUUCUUUUCUUUCGAGGUUCCGGGCACUUGCCCCUUUUUAUUUCCUUGUAUUUCCUUUUUUUUAGAGCACUCAUCUCUUGAGAUAAUAUAGCAAGUGGUAGUAACAAGAUUUCUUGAGCAUUUAUUUCAUAGGGGAAAAACAGAAAUAUUUUUGGCUAUUCUCUCCCGGAUUAGGAGUACAAUAUUUUUAGGUGGUUCUGGAGAUGGAAAUGGGUGGAUAUAUAUGGAUGGUACUUCCGGAAUAGAAGUAGCAUAUAUGAGAGAACGUGCAAGUGAAAUCUUGAUUUAACCACAUGAAAAGCUCCUAAGGGUCUACACAGCUUGACCACACUCAAUGCUCAUAAGCAGUAAAUAGUAAAUGUGUGGCUCAAAGUCUAGCAAGCAUGUAUAUAUGGCUGUGGUAGGAAUUUAAACUCUCAUCAUACAGGAACUCAUCAUGCAGCAUUAAAAAUUUUUAAAGAUAAAAUUCUCCAUAAUUCUCGCAUCUCUAGGAACAGAUAAAUAACAGCUCAACCUUCCCAUAUUAUAUCCGUUAACAACCUAGACUUUAGAUCAAGUUUUCAUCCCACAAGUUUACGUCUAGAGCAAGCUUUAAAUUAUAACAGUUAUGUCUAAACUUGAGAGAGAACUUAAAAUGUGCAAAUUAGGCAGAGCAACUAUUCAUCAUAUCCAUGCUAGAGUUUUAUUAUUAAGAUACAGAUUAGCAAAGCCACUUUAUUUAUUUAUGAAACACACUAAGCAAAAGAUAUAUAUAUAUAUAUGUAUAUAAGCAUAAAAUCUUUAUUUGGUUUUUCAUAGUUAUAUAUUUAUAUUCUAAUAUAGUAUAAGUAUUAAGAUAGAUAGAAAGAUAGAAAUACUUAGCGGGAUAAAUGGGGGUGCUCUCCCCCAAGCUGAAUUUUGACGUAAUUUCUCUUGAUGUAGCUGGCAGGUGGCAGAGGUAUAUUUGAAAGUCAGCAGCAUUCUGACAGCGAUUAGAAUGUCCUCCGUCUGCUAGUCUUCUUGAUUCUUAAAUUCUGUGGAGCUCAAAUAGACAACAAAGCUUGUGGAACUGAUUAAGUGUUAGCAUAAAUAUCUAGCCUUUAUCAUGUUGAGACUCCUUAAUAAUUAUUACUCCCUGUUUUUGUAUUUUUAUUUUAUAAAGCAGAAAAAUAUUUAUUUUAUUUUUAUGCCACCACAGUGAAUGUACUUAUGGGUUUUAUGCCACUCGUAUACUCACAUGGGGCUUAAUGUAUUUUCAUAUUUUUAUUUUCUUUUUAGGAUAGCAUGAACAUGAUUAACUAAGCAAUCUGUUUAAAAUAAUUAAAAGGGAAAGGAUAACUACCAAGUUUACCUCUUGGCAAGGCGUUCGGUGUUUUUAAGUCCUCCGAAUGGGACUCUCCGUUUUCUCAAUUGUCCUGGGAUUCGUUGGGUGGCGUAGUCGGUACUUCCGGCGGCGCCUCCUCUUCAUGUAUAGUUAUCUUGUCUUUCCAUACCUGACUCGGUGCUACGGUCUCCUCUGGAUAAUUCUGUUUAAACUCUAUGUCUUCUGACCUUACAACUUCUCCUUCAUAGUCUGCCCAUCCGUCCUUGAUGAUCUGCCUCCUCUAGUUGCGGUUGCAUCGUUUCCUUACCUGCUUAGAUUCUUCAACGAUAUAGUCAGCGUCAAUAAAAUAACGUCGUACCUUCUCUGAGGGGAAGUGCAUAUGGACUUCUCCGGUUCCAAUAUAGAUGAUUGCUUUAACGGUGCUGAGGAACGGUCUUCCAAGGAUGAUGGGUGGAUCGUAUUCAUCUUCUCCCAUGUCAAUAACCUGAAAGUAUGUGUAGACAAAAAUUGUCUAUCUUGAUAGGGACAUCAGUUACUGUUCCUUUAAUUUCUCGAAAUGUCUGAUCUGCCAUCUGGAGCUGAAUAUAUGUUGGUUUUAGGAGCAUGGUUCCGAACAAGAGCCGAUAGGUGACUGUGGCCAUUAUGUUGACGCCCGAUCCGGUGUCGCAAGUUGUCUUGUAGAAGCUGUAUCCAUUUAUUGAGCAGUAGAUGCUUGGCAUUCCUGGGUCGUCCUUCUUGGUCAAAAACGGAGACUUAAGUUGAUGAUCUUGGCCUCAAUGAACUGCAGUGACCAUCUUAGCUGACUCGGUCCACACUUGCUUGUUCCUGUUCCUCCUGUUGGUCCUCUUCCUUGAUUCAUGUCUGGAUUAAUCUGGGAUUUGUGUAGUCUUGUUCUUCAAGAAAAAUGUCUCCUUCCUCCCUUUGAUGUAGAAACUGAUCUUGGCAGCACUGGCGUAGAUGAUAGCUCCCGUGGUGUUCAAGAAUGGCCUCCCUAAGAUGAUAGGUGCCCUCUCAUCAUUUCCGGUCUCUACUACUACGAAGUCUGCUGGGGCAUACAAGGUACCAACUCGGACACAAAGGUUCCUUAAUAUUCCUUUUGGAAAAGUUAUCGUCUGAUCUGCAAACUGCAAACACAUGGUUGUCUCUAAUAAAGGAUAUGUAAAGAAUUUUUCAUAGAGUGCCCUGGGUAUAAUGUUGACGUUGGAGCCAACGUCACAGAGUGCUUCUGGGACGUCCACCAUGCCGAUGGAGAUCGGGAUGACGGGGCGUCCUGGAUCUCCUCUCUUGACCGGCAGAAGGUCAGUAGUGAAUUCAGUGACGGGGUUACUCCAAUUACCUGCAUCAAACAUGUCUACAAGAUUUGCAGAUUCUAAUCCUUCCGGUUGUGAUGGUAUACCGGGGUGAGUAGCAGGAACAACAACAGCUAUUUGAUUUAACUGAGAUUCAAUCAUUUUAUUAAAGCUAAUUUGAUUCUUGAUGGCAGUAGAGAAAUUAUCCAUUCUAUUAUUUAUAUUUUCUAGCAUUUUAUCAUUAGAUGCCAAUUUCUUAGAUAGAUUAUCCAUUAGCUUUCCUUGAUUAGACACUAACUCUCUCAGGGUGGAAAAUUAUUAUUAUUAUUGUAAGAAUUGUUACCUUGAUAAUUACCUGAGUAGUUAGGCCUCUGUUAAUUCCAACCUUGAUUUUGAUGAGGACGGUAGUAGUAGUUGUUGUUGUUGUUGAUGUAGUUCACAUCCUCAAGCAUCUCAGGACAGUGAUUGCCUGAGUGUCCAGUAUCUCCACACUCCUCACAAGUCAUGUGAGAGUCGUAGAUGUGCAUAACUUCCUUCUUAUCUCCAGCUCUAUGGCCGAGCUUCUUCAUGAGCAGGUCUAGCUUUGCAGACAACAUGUCUACCUCCUUCAGCUGAUGCAUACCUCCACCUCUCUUGCGUGUCUGGGUCCUCUCUUCAUUCCAGCUUUGGUUGGACACCAUCUUCUCCACAAGAGCUGGGGCUUGUGGCAUGGUGAGUGAUAAGAAUGCUCCUCCAGCUGCAGCAUCCAUAGUUUCUCGGGCACUAUUGCCGAGCCCAUGAUAAAACAUCUACAUCAGUAGCCAACUCUCCAUUACAUGAUGGGGACAUCCUAGGAUGUAGUCUUGGAAGCGCUCCCGUGCUUCUGGAACAGAUUCGUCAUGUUGUUGCUGAAAACUUGUAAUCUUCCCACGGAGAGCAUUGGUCUUGCCCAUGGGAAAGAACUUAGCCAGAAAGUUUGUUGAGCAGAGUGCCCACGUAGUAUUCUUCUCCUUUGUAGCAUAGAUCCACUGCUUUGCUCUUCCUAACAGUGAGAAUGGGAAGAGGCGAAGUAGUACAGCAUCUUUGGAAACUCCUGAUAUGGUAAAUGUGUUGCAAAUCUCCAGGAAGUGUUGUAGAUGAGCACUGGCAUCUUCGUGUGCCUUCCCAUAGAACUAGUUGGAUUGCACCAUAUUGAUAAGUCCAGGCUUGAGCUCAAAGUUGCCGUCGAUCACUGCAGCAGGUCCAGUGCGGAUGUUGUCUGUAGUGGGAGCUGAGAACACGCAGAUUGAUUUGUUCGCCAUGGCUUCGAACUCUGAAGACAAGUUCCGGUGAUCUUCUUGAUUGGAUGAAGCUUCUUGCUGAAGUGUUGAUGAUCUCUUCUUGAGCUUGGCUCUCGUCUUCUUGAAUAUUGCUUCGGGAUUGUCAACAAAAUUUCUUGGAAGAUGUCUUCUAUUCAUACAUUCCCCUGCAUAAGAUAAAAAUAGAAAAAUAUUUUGGUAAAACUGUAUGAGAGAAUAGAUAAGCUCAAUCAUAUUAGUGAUGCGAAUGAUAACUCAAAAUCUUUUAUUCCAUUCCUGAUUAGUAAUCAACCUUCCCUGGCAAUAGUGCCAAAAAUGCUUGUUGGGUAUUCUUAACAUCAUUACCAAAAGUAGACAAUUCCUAAUUCUAGUAACGGUGCCAAAAAUGCCAAACGUAUCCCUCACACCACUUAAGCCAAGUUGUCAUCCCCAGCAUGAUGUGAGAGACGCGGUAUUGAAAUAUGCAAUUGCUCUUCUAAAUAAAUAAUGAAUGGGAUCUGGAAGCGCACAGAUUAAUACCGAUGUAGCAUUUUAACCGGGAGGUAUUCCAGGUAUCGUUAUUUAUAUUUUUACCACUGGGAAGGGAUUAACAAUCAUCAAUAUUGAUUACAGAAUAGAAUAUGAGAUUGAGUAUCUAUCAUUGCAAAUAUAAUUAAAAUCAGUUAUCUAACUCUUUCAUACAGGGGUAAGUGUCACAUAACAGAUAUAUGAAGUAAUAAAUAGUGACAAGGAUAAUUAAUCUGAUCAGCCACAUAUAAAUAUGAUAAGCACCUCAAUUAGAUACUCUAGAAAGUCAUUAGCAUGGAAUUAUAAUGAACUACAAGAAUAUUUCCUAAGUUAUUCUCAACUAUAUAGUCUAGCAUUAUUGUUGACGGUCCUUAAGUAUCAAAUUUAAUUAUCAAAUAAAUAAAGAAAAGGAUCCAAAUGAAAUAAAGAUCUAAACUUAGGGUUUUAUCUGACAGAAUUCCACGAGUUUUGGUGUUUGUCUAUUUCUGCAGGGGGUUAUCAGGAAAUACGGAAGAAAGGCCCACAUGUCGGGAUUACAUAGAGAUAUUAACGUGUCGCGCAAUUAUCUUACAUCUAGAAGACUCUAGAAGCCACGAGACCGAAGCGGAGGCGAAACGAGGCCAGACCCUGGGCGCCCGCCCAGUUGGUCAGGGCGCCCGCCCUGCCUCUGAGUCCAAUCAGGACUCUGCUUUGAGGCAGAUUUCCACCGACCUAAAGGAUGAAUCUAAACCAUACAAUCUAUGUCGGUUUGAUCCAAGGGCCUGUAUUCACUUGAAGGGACUAUAAAACCAGACCCCCUGGCCCCUGGAGGAGAGAGCCUCUUAACCCUAAUUCAUUGUUCUUCAAGGGAGAAGAAGCCUCUAAUCAAGAUUAGAGCCACCACAUCAAUUAGAUAUCUAGAUUAGCAUAGCUACAUAGGAUUAGAACUAGAAGGAGUCAAUCUUCGAUUGGUUUCCGGAUCUGUCAAGAGGAUUCUUGGUAAUUCUCUAAUUGUGCUUCUAAGUACUUUCUAAUUAUCUUUGUUCUUCAAUAUUAUGAAUAUGACUUUGUUCUACUUCAAUAUAUUGCUUAUGACUUUGCUGUACUUGCUUAUAUUCAAGAUUAUAUUGUUCUUAGUUUAUCAUAGUUAUGUACUUGGCUUAGUUAGAUUCGAUCUAUAUACAUGCUUAGGAUCGUAUAGCGUUUAUCCAUCGGAUCCAUGGGUAAAUGAUAGAUAUUGUGUAGGCGUGGUGCUUAUACCGUAUUUAUCUGCGAUUGUACCCAAUAUGCCAGAUCGUGGGGUGGUUCGUGAUAGUGACAGCUUUAUUGAUUCUUAUAUAGUCCCCCUCUCGUGUAUUGGGCUGGCAGAGCAACAUUAUUACAGGGGAGUGAUUGCUAUGUUUCUCAUAUUCCUUACUAAUAUCACUAUGCAUGGGCGUAGUCUUGUCUCGCAAUGAUUGCUAAGUAUGCUUGCACUAACUAUGAUAAUGCUAGACUAUAUAGUUGAGAAUAACUUAGGGAAUAUUCUUGUAGUUCGUUCUAAUACCAUGCUAAUAACUUUCUAGAGUAUCUAAUUGAGGUGCUUAUCAUAUUUAUUAUGUGGCUAGAUCAGAUUAGUUAUCCUUGUCACUAUUAUUAUUUCAUAUAUCUUUUAUGUGACACUUAUCCCUGUAUGAAGAGUUAGAUAUAAUGUUCUCAAUUAUACAUGCAAUGGUAGAUGCUCAAUCUCAUAUUCUAUUCUGUAAUCAAUAUUGAUGAUUGCUAAUUCCUUCCCAGUGGUAAAAAUAUAAAUAACGAUACCUGGAAUACUUGCCGGUUAAAAUGCUGCAUCGGUAUUAAUCUGUGCGCUUGCAGAUCCCAUUCAUUAUUUAUUUAGAAGAGCAAUUGCAUAUUUCAAUACCGCGUCUCUUAUAUCAUGCUGGGAAUGACAACUUGGCUUAAGUGGUGUGAGGGAUAGGUUUGGCAUUUUUGGCACUGUUACUAGAUUUAGAGAACUUAGUCUACUUUUGGUAAUGAUGUUAAGAAUACCCAACAAUUAUCAUAGUUAGUGCAAGCAUACUUAGCAAUCAUUGUGAGACAAGACUACGCCCAUGCUUAGUGAUAUUAGCAAGGUAAAUGAGAAACAUAGCAAUCGCACCCCUGUAAUAAUGUUGCUCUGCCAGCCCAAUACACGAGAGGGGGACUAUAUAAGAAUCAAUGAAGCUGUCACUAUCACGAACUACCCCGCGAUCUAGCAUAUUGGGUACAAUCGCAGAUAAAUACGGUAUAAGCACCACGCCUACACAAUAUCUAUCAUUUACCCAUGGAUCCGAUGGAUAAACGCUAUACGAUCCAAAGCAUGUGUAUAGAUCCAACCUAACUAAGCCAAGUACAUAACUAUGAUAAACUAAGAACAAUAUAAUCUUGAAUAUAAGCAAGUACAACAAAGUCAUAAGCAAUAUAUUGAAGUAGAACAAAGUCAUAUUCAUAAUAUUGAAGAAGAAAGAUAAUUAGAAAGCAAUUAGAAGCACAAUUAUAGAAUUACCAAGAAUCCUCUUGACAGAUCCGGAAACCAAUCAAAGAUUGACUCCUUCUAGUUCUAAUCCUAGGUAGCUAUGCUAAUCUAGAUGUCUAAUUGAUGUGGUGGCUCUAAUCUUGAUCACAGGCUUCUUCUCCCUUGAGAAUAAUGAAUUAGGAUUGAGAGGCUCUCUCCUCCAGGGGCCAGGGGGUCUAGUUUUAUAGUCCCUUCAAGUGAAUAUGGGCCGUUGGAUCAAACCGACAUAGAUUGUAUGGUUUAGAUUCAUCCUUUAGCUCGGUGGAGAUCUCCCACGAAGUAGAGUCCUGAUUGGACUCAGGGAGGGAGCGGGCACCCAGGGGAACAGGGCGGGCGCCCUGCCUCUGGCCCCGUUUCGUCUUCGCUUCGGUCUCGUGGCUUCUGGAGUCUUCUAGAUGUAAGAUAAUUGUGCGGCUUGUUAAUAUCUCUAUAUAAUCCCGACAUGUGGUCCUUUCUUGCGUAUUUCCUGAUAACCCCCUGCAGAAAUAGACAAACACCAAAACUCAUGGAAUUCUGUCAGAUAAAACCCUAAGUCUAGAUGUUGAUUUCAUUUGGAUCUUUUUCUUUGUUUAUUUAAUAAUUAAAUUUGAUACUUAAGGACCGUCAACAGCAUGUCCGAAAGUUCCUUUUCCAUUACCACGUAUCGAUCAAAUUAUUGAUUCUACUGCGGGAUGUGAAACCCUUUCUUUCCUUGAUGCAUAUUCUGGUUACCAUCAAAUAAAAAUGAAAGAAUCCGACCAGCUCGCGACAUCUUUCAUGACGCCUUUUGGGAUGUACUGUUAUGUAACCAUGCCGUUCGGGCUUCGAAAUGCGGGAGCUACAUACUAGCGAUGUGUGGCAGAACCUCCUAAGUGUUUGGGCCCACCGACACCUGCCAUUGUCCUAAGGACCUCUGACGGUGAUGCCGGGAGUCCUCCCACUUUAGAAGUCCGAUGAGCAUUGCUGGGCGCUCAUUCCACUGCUACCUGUGGCGUACCAAGCUGGCUCGUCCUGACCACUGGUAAUGGUCAAACAACGAGAACUGUUUCUUCUCGCCCUUACAGGAUAGCAAGUGGCCACCUUAACACCAGGAUCAUUCGUUGCGAAGAUAAAGCAGUAACUCAACAACACAAGACCAAAAUAAUAUUUCAGAGUGAAAUAGCGGAAGUAUUACAUAACUUAAUUUACAAAAGGAGUUCUUCCAAAUAGUAGAGUGUUAUUACAAGCCUGGUCCAGCGGAGCAACUGAAGCUUUAGUACAGACAGAACAAAAUUACAGACCCUGCCCAUGGGUCACGCUCACUCUUCUUCGUCGUCAAUCUCGACGACGGUCACACAACAGGGUCCGAAACAAGUCGGCUCCUGUGCUUCACCUACAACAGGGGUAUUGAAACCCUGAGUACGGGAGUACUCAACAAGACUUAUCCGCCGGGGAAAAGAGGAGAAUUUAGGGAUGCAGGCUUAGGGUAGACAAGGGGUGGCUGAGCAAGGAGCCAAAGUGUUUUGCGUAAAAGCUUACUAGUAGUGCAUCCUUAUUUUCAAGUUUUAUCCAGAAUUCCUCCCUCGCAGAGGCAGAGGAAUUCGAGGAUAGUCUAACUGGUUGUUCCCCACAGACGAAUCCGUGAGUUCCUAGUCCUAUCAUUAAGUAUUAUUUAUUGAUGGCCAUAGCUUCAUGUCGCUAUGAGUCCGGGAAUUGGGAUCCGAACCUCAUGGGACAUUUCCCCUUUUCAUUAUAUCACUUAGUUGCAUAUUUAACUACGAUGAGGGUCGAAGGAAUUGAGUCUCCCAAUCGGGGAGCAACGACGAUUCGAAUCGCUUAGCAAUCCAGCUGGAGUUCCUAACCACCCGACAUAUGUAGAACCAAUUCUUGCAUAUAUCAACCCAAAUCAAGCUCUCCCCAAAUUUGACUAGGUUCGCGGCACCCGAGAGCACAGUACUCCACCAUCCUACAGCCGAUCUAGAUGUUUUCCGGUCAUCUCAGAUCCGUAAGGUGGGUACACACUACUCUCGCCAUCUUUCCACUCCCAGUGCGCGAGUAGCUGUUCGCGUCGAGGGAUCACAAGACUGGGCUUACCGGGGCAAGUGGCUAGUACUAUAAAUUCUCAACCCAGCAGGCCAUCAACGGACCGGUCCUUAAUCGACACAGUUGGAGACACUACUUUAAGACUCCAUUCUUAAAGCAAGUCCACCGACCGGUCUCAAAUUGAAACUUCAUUGAUAGUAAUUGUAUCCCAAAACAACCCUUCAAACUUUCUUGUUUAAAACCUAUCUAGUAGCAGGGCUAAGCAUUGCUACGCAGUUUUAAAAUAAACAGGUGUCAAGGACAGGAUAACAGAUAUCAAGGUAGUAAAUGCAGCAAGUAGGUUAACCCAAUUCUUAACUACAUAAUGCAGCAUUUUUAAUUUACAAGUGAUAAAAGAUUUAAAACAUCCAAGGAGGGGUUAAUGCAUCCGGGGCUUGCCUUGGUUGCAGGGCAGAGAGGGACCCUCGGAGACUUCCCAAGUCUCGGAUCCGACUUCCUCGAACGGAGCACCGACCUCGGGGUUCGGUUCAACGGGCGCUCCUUCGAUCACGGACGCUAUACGCAAGAUGAUGAAUGCUUAUGAUAUGCGUAUGGCAAAUAUGCAAGAUGGACCGAAUUAAGUACAAUUUGUCCUCCCAAUGCAGUGCAGAACAAUUAAUAAAUAAAGUUGUUUAAUAACUUAAUAUUUUUACCCAAGAGGUUGCAUCUGUAAACUAAAACUUUACUUAAUUCAUAAUUAUCUUAAAUUAAGUAAUUAUUAAACCUAUUUACCUUAAUUAACUCUUAAUUAAUUACUAAUGACAGUAAUUAAGCAUUAAGGCUAAACAAUAAUUAAAUGCCAAAGGUCAUUAGGGUUAAUGACCUCAGGUCAUCACAUAAUCCAAAAUCACUCAACCCUAAUUAUGAGGACCUAAUUAAUCACUAUUUAAUUAUUUUGGAAUUAUUACUUAAGUACUAAAUAAGGGUUUAUUAAUAUUUUAAUCAAACAUUAUCCAAAUGCCACCAAAUUUUGUGUGGAGCCAGGGAAUAAUAUUCAGAGGCUCCCCACAAUUUUUGGUGAUUUUUGGACAUACAAAUAAAUUAUUAAAAAUCAUACAAGUUUUAUUUGCUAAUUAAAAGGGCCAAUUUUUAUAUCCUUGCAAACUAUUAGAAAGCAGAAUCUAGUAUUUUUCUUGGAUCCUACACAUUUCAGAGAGUUUAUACAAAAAUUCUCAUUAUUUUUGGAUCAUCACACAAUUUAUUACACAAAUUCAAACAUUCAGCAAAAAUUGCAUAAAAGGAAAAAGGAAAAGGUUUUUCGCGCGGCGGGCGGCCUGGAACUUGGCCCGCAAGCCGGCCCACGCGCGCUCGGCCUGCUCACGCGCCGCGCAGACGGUCCGCUUGGACACGGCCCACGCGCGCUUCGCGCGCGCUCUCUCCUCUCCGUAUGGUCACUGGCGAGCGGGUCCCGCUCGUCAGUUUCGCCUCCCUCGCUCACGGUGGUGCUGCCGCCGCUCCGGCGACCGCUAGCGGGUUCCUCGGCCCCCGCGCGCGCGCGCACCAGCACCGCACCAACCCUGCGACUCCAGAGGUACGGCCUGAGGACGCUCUAUCGUCCUCCUCCUACCUCGGCCACGCGAAAGGCGGCGGCCACCCUGGCCGACCGUCGGCCGGCCGCUAGAGCCUAGUAGAGUGCACACGGAUGGAACCGGGAGCUUCCAGGAGAGUUAAGGAGUACGGUGCUCACGUCACCACUGCGGGAGACACAACAGAGAAGCUUGGCGACGGUGGCCGUGCAGUCGGGCGGCGCUCCGGCUCCGGCGAGGUCGUCUCGGCAAUCCUGUUGGCGUCCAGUAGGAAAUAGCGAGCGCAUGAGCAACUGGGGCACGAGGGAAAUGUGAAACAGUCGCCAGUGGGGUGUGAUACUCACUGGAACACCGUGGCCACGGGAAGAGUUCCGUGGCGGCGGUCUCGGCCGGAGUUGGAGAAGAGGGAAAAGCUCUGGCGCUUGGGGAGGUUAGGGCGUGAGCUUGGGGGCGCUCUGAGUCCGCAAGGAGGUGGCGAAUACGGCAGCGUGCUCAAUUUGGCGUGAAUGGAACGGGGCGCGGUGGAUUUCAGAGAGGGGAAGGUCGAGCCUUUUCGGCCGUGGACAGCGAAAACGGACGGCGUCGUCCACGUCGGUGCUCAAGUGGAGGGGAAGACAAGCCCGGGGCAUCCACGUCGCCUGGCGACCCUGGCAGCAAGCAGCUGCGUGCACUCACGCAUGCGCGCGGCGCUGCUCGCGCGGCAGCUGCGCUGGACAGGGAGCCGGUGAUCCCUAUCGGAUCACUGUAGCAACCCCUAUCUUCCCCCUUUUGUCCCCUUGCGAAUUUCAGCCAAAAUUUGAACUAAAGUCCAAAUUCCACCAAAACAAAAAUUGUGCCAAAUUUUAUAAGCUACAAAACAUAUUUAAGAGUCCAGAACUGAUUUUGAGUGUAACAGGGUGAAUUUGGCCAAACAGUUUGAAAAUCAAACUCAAAUCAAAGAAAUUCCAAAUUUUUGAAUUGGGGCAAAACAGAAUUUCCAAAAUUACUUUUGAUUUUGUAUAACAACUUGAAAAACUCCCAACAUGAAAGUUGCUCAACUUUUUGUGCUCUACAACUUUCAUGUUGACCACUUUUCAAAAUUCCAAAUGGAUUUUGAAUUGGGGUUUUAAGUUGGAAAAGGGGACACUUUCUGGAAAUCUGUAUUUUCAAAAUUACUUUAAAUUUUGUAUUGAAACUUCAAAAACUCAAAACACCAAAGUUGUACAUCUUGCCAAGAGCUACAACUUUGCUUUUGAACUCAACUUCAAAUUUUGCUUAGUUUUUGAAUUAUACAAAAAGGGGCAAAUCUAAGAUCCAGAAAUCAGGGUUUUUCCCCCUUUUAGCCUAUCGGAAAACUUCCACCCUAGGGUUUUAGCAAUCACACAAGCAACAACACACCACAGAAGCACACUCUACUUCCCUAAGCUCAAGCAAUCAAAGUAAACUUAUUCUAAGUUGAUGCAUACUAAUGUGCUUUAACAAUUAUGCUUUACAAUGCUUAUGAUGACAUGAUCCGUUUUUAGUAACCGUAACAUCAGGGAUGUUACACGAUGUAUGCUCCACGUGUUCGGCAAACAUAUAGGGUCGACGGUUGAGGCCUAUGUUGACGACAUCGUCGUCAAGACGACGAAGCGAGGAGACCUGAUUCAGGACCUUGAGAUCGCUUUUAGUUGCUUAUGCGCCAACCAGAUCAAGCUCAACCCCGAAAAGUGCGUUUUCGGCGUGCCUCAAGGCAUGCUCUUGGGUUACAUCGUUUCCCAGCACGGCAUCGAGGCUAACCCCGAGAAAGUCUCAGCCAUCAUAAGAAUGGGGCCAAUCCAAGACGUCAAGGGCGUGCAGAGAGUCACGGGAUGCUUAGCGGCGCUAAGUCGUUUUAUCCCAAGGUUGGGAGAAAAGGCGUUGCCACUGUAUCGACUCCUGAAGAAAGUCGAGCGUUUCUCUUGGACCCCCGAGGCCGAGGAAGCCCUCGAUAACUUGAAGAAAACACUGACCUCUACCCUGGUCCUGGUCCCACCCCAACCCGCAGAACCUCUGCUUCUGUACGUCGCCUCGAUGACCCAGGUCGUCAGCGCGGCGGUAGUGGUCGAGAGGCAGGAGGAGGGACAUGCGCUGCCAGUCCAGAGGCCAGUCUAUUUCAUCAGCGAGGUGCUCUCGAAGACCAAGGCACGAUACCCACAGAUCCAGAAGCUAAUCUACGCUGUGAUCCUCGCCCGACGCAAGCUGCAACAUUACUUCCUCGGCCACCCUAUCACGGUGGUCUCGUCCUUCCCCUUGGGUGAAAUCAUCCAGAGUCGGGAGGCCACGGGAAGAAUCGCUAAGUGAUCGGUCGAGCUCAUGAGUGAGACCCUCACUUAUGCACCCCACAAAGCUAUCAAGUCACAUGCCCUGGUGGAUUUCGUCGCGGAAUGGACAGACUCCCAGCUCCCCCCCGGCUCAGGUUCAGGCAGAGCUGUGGACGAUGUAUUUCGACGGGUCUCUCAUGAAAACGGGAGCUGGGGCGGGCCUGCUAUUCAUCUCGCCCCUGGGCGUUCAUAUGAGGUAUGUCAUCAGGAUUCAUUUUGCCGCAUCCAACAACGUCGUGGAGUACGAGGCCCUUGUCAACGGUCUGAAGAUCGCCAUCGAGCUAGGAGUCCGACGCCUCGACGUUCGAGGCGACUCCCAGCUCGUCAUCGACCAAGUGAUGAAGGCCUCGAACUGCCACGACCCGAAAAUGGAGGCGUACUGCAAGGAGGUACGCCGACUCGAGGAUAGGUUCCAUGGCCUCGAGCUCAUCCACAUCACCCGACGCUACAAUGAGGCGGCCGACAAACUCGCUAAGCUCGCGUCGACUCGAGGCAUGGUCCCACCUGACGCAUUCACAAGAGAUCUACACGAGCCAUCCGUCGACUUGGGCUCGGGGGCUGGUGUCGAAGCCACCCCCACCCAGCAAACCGACACCAUCGAAGCGCUGCUAAUAGCAGCCGAGGCAAUGGAGGUGGAACAGCGGCCCUAUCGAUAGUUCGACUGGCGCACACCGUUCCUCGAUUGCCUAAUUCGUUGCGAGCUAUCUAAAGACCGGUCCGAGGCCUGCCGUAUCACUCGACGGGCCAAAUCAUAUGUAAUCUAUGGUGAAGGCAAUGAGCUAUACCGACGAAGCCCGAUAGCGAAAACUCCUCGAGGAUCUACACUCGGGGGCUUGUGGCCACCAUGCUGCUCCACGGACCCUCGUAGGGAAUGCUUUCCGAUAAGGCUUCUACUGGCCAACGGCUGUAGCUGAUGCCAUCGAGCUCGUGCGCUCGUGCCAUGGGUGCCAAUUCUACGCCAAACAGACGCAUCUGCCCGCCCACGCUCUCCAGAUGAUCCCCAUCACGUGGUCGUUUGCGGUGUGGGGGCUCAACUUAGUAGGACCUCUACAGAAGGCAGCAGGGGGGUACACCCAUUUGUUGGUAGCCAUCGACAAAUUCUCCAAAUGGAUCGAGGCUCAAUGCAUCACGAACAUCCGCUCCGAGCAGGCCGUCCUUUUCUUCACCGACAUCAUCCACCGGUUUGGAAUUCCCAACAUCAUCAUCACCAACAACGGCACUCAGUUCACCGGCAAAAAGUUCUUGGACUUCUGUGAUCGGCAUCACAUCCGUGUGGACUGGUCUGCAGUAGCUCACCCUCGAACUAACGGUCAGGUCGAGCGUGCCAACGGUAUGAUUUUGCAGGGGCUCAAACCGAGGAUCUACAACUGCUUGAAGAAAUUCGGCAAGAAAUGGGUCGAGGAGCUUUCUUUGGUCCUAUGGAGCUUAAGGACGACGCCAAGCAGGGCCACAAAAUACACCCCAUUCUUCAUGGUCUAUGGCUCAGAGGCCGUGCUCCCAACAGACCUCGAGUAUGGAUCCCCUCGACUCAAAGCAUACAACGAGCAAUCAAAUAAGGAGACUCAAGAGAACGCGGUCGACCAACUCGAGGAAGCUCGAGACAUGGCCCUCCUCAACUCUGCCAGAUACCAGCAGAAGCUUCGACGCUACCACGACAAGCACGUGCGCAAGAGAGAUCUGAACGUGGGCGACCUUGUCCUACGGCGGCGGCAAAGCAAUCAAGGACCCCACAAGCUGACUCCACCUUGGGAGGGCCCAUACGUAGUGGCUGAGGUCCUGAAGCCGGGAACAUACAAGCUAGCGGACGAGAAAGAGGCGAUCUUCACCAACGCGUGGAGCAUCAAAUAGCUACGUCAAUUCUACCCCUAGAAUUUCAAAGCUUUAUGUUCCCAUGCACAUUUUGUACCAAGACCUUACGAAUGAAUGCAUGAAUGAAAAAGAUCUUUCCCUCGAGUAAUUUACUUUUUAUAGUUGGUCAAAAUCUCAACGUUAGAAGGGAGUACCAACUAUGACCCAUCAUAGUCGAUACCCCCUCGGGGGUUAGCAGGGGGGUACCCCCCCCAAAAUAUCGAAAAAACCAGGAAAUUCUCUCGUCCCUAUCAGUAAAUCUCACGCGGUCAAGUAGUGGAGGCACCUCGAGCCCCUUAAGGGCCGAGGGACGACGAGCCUAAGGACUCCUACGCCUCCGGGCUACGGUACCUUUACUCGCUUCCUCACCCUCGAGGCAAUCGAGGUCGCCUUAACAAAAGGCAAAAUGGGAACUACAGACACAGGCAGAAAAAGAAUCUCGAGCGGAAAGAUAGGCAAACAUUCACAGAUCAUAUAAGCCACUCAAAAACACAGUACUACAUAAGAUAGAAUGACAAAAUACUAUACAAGGGGCCUAGGCACCCAGAGCAGGCUCACAGGCCUCAGUCCGCAUCUCGGCCCUCACCACUAUCGCCCGCGCCCGGGCUAGUCUCGGGGGGAAGUACUUCCGGCUCGAACAACUUAGCCAACCUCACCCCAGGGACCUCUGCGUCAUCGAUCAAGGCGUGGAGCCUCUCCUCGUUCUCCGCGUCAGUCUUGGAGAUGUCGGUGACGAAGUCGUGGGACACCACCUCCAUGUCGUAAGAAAAGCCUGAGAAGACUACCGCCAUCGCCCGCUUCACUCCGACAUGAAGAGCGUGCCGCACUCGAUCCCUCAGCGUUGCGCCUAGGUAGCACAGCUGAUCGACCAGUGCAUCGCCUUGAUCCUCCUCCCUCGACUCGUCAACAGGCUCGAGCUCCCAGGAGGCCGAGAGGUCGCUUAUUGCGGUCCAUAGCCGACCAUUCAAAGCAACCUCCCCCUCAAGCUGAGCCUUGGCGGAACGGGCCUCGACUUGGGCGGCCAGCAGCUCGUCUUUAAGCCCUUCAAAGACCAACAUGAAGAAAUUAGAUAAAACCAAGCACACCUCAGAAACGAGACUCGAUAGUAGAAACGUACCACGAAUGCUCUCCUCCAGAGCCAUAUUCACGCCAACCAAGUCAGUGUUGGCCCUCUCGAUCUCUUUGUUGCAGCGCACCAGCUCGGUGUUGGCAACGCGCAGAUCCUCGAUCACCUUGCCAGACUACGUGAUGGCUCCAUUUUUCUCCAGUAGCUCUCCCUUCAGACGGUCAACAUCGUCAGAAAGGCCGCGAGAUCGAAUCCGCUCAGCCUCGAGAUCUUCGAGGGCCUUCUUCUUGGCCUCCUCCACGGCGCUCCGAGCGAUCUCGCCAUUCACACACUCCACCUUCAUCCUUUGAAAGGUCUCUCGGGCGGAGGCAAGUUCAGUCUUAAGGAGGCCCUUCUCCUUGUCUAGGUUAGCAGCCGCCCUCUUGUAAGACAGGGCCUCGUCCUGGGCCUUGGACGCGGCCUCCUCGACUACCAUGGUCCGCUCCCUCAGAAGCGCAGCCUCUUCCACCGCUUUCUUCGAAGCCUCUCGAGCCUCAGCCAGAGCAGCCUCCCUCUCCUUCUUCUCCUCCUCAAGUGCCAAAAGCUCUUUAUAGGCCUUGAGGAGCUUCUCCUACGACUCUAGGAGUUUGUCCUUGAGAAUGGGGAGUUGCUCCCAGCCGCCUCUCGUGGCGUGGAUGAAGCUCGAUUUAAUGCGGGAGGUCUCUUUCAGGUCCUGCGAUCCAGCGAUUGGGUAAUUAGCACACAAAAUCAAACGUUCUAUAAGGAUUAAAGCCCGAAAAACACUUACAAAGUAGGCCAGUCCGAGCCCGUUAUUAACAACGUCGGACAGGAGCCCCACCGUAUGCUUCAUCUAGAGGCGAAGCUCCUCGACGUGGUCCCACGUUUCGGCCUCCUUCCGGUCGUCUAGGAAAAUAUUGGGUUCACACGGAUUGGUGGAAGCUCGGAUGCGGAUCCGGUCGGGGCACCAGUUCUCCAUCUCCUAGUCGGCGCACGCCUUGACGACUCAGAUGAGCUCCUCAACGGUCUCGAGCGACCCCCCAUGGUGCAGGAACAAGUCGACAAGGGAGGGGAACCGCCCGUCGUCGUCCACCGUCUUCCAGGUCCCGGUCUCGCGGCCUCCACCACGGCCUGACGUUCCAGCCUCGUCCUCCUCAGCAGGAAUGCGGUCCUCCCACGACCGACACUCUCGAAGGAACCCCGGAGCAAUCCCGUCCAUGCCGUAGAUCGUACCCUUGAUCUCGGACUGAGGGUCAACGGGGGUGCGCAUCAUACUGGCGAGCGCCGCCACACCGUCCGCCCGCCCCGACUCUGCUGGGAUCGAGGCGGGCGCCCCUGGACGGAGCCACGCCGGGGUCGGAGGGCCGUAAACUGGUAGACCCUCCUCUCGGUUUCGAGGCUCUUGUGGCGCUGGUGGCACUAGUCGGGGCGGACUGUGAGAGGGAGGCUCGAGCAGAUCCUCUAACUGCUGGCCCCUCUGCUGCUGCUCCUCCUGGAGCUCCCGCAGCUCCCGUUGACGGUCCUGCUCCAGCAGCUCCUUGAGCUGGGGAACCGCUGGCGGCGGCCCCUCCUCUCCUUCUUUCUCCUGCGGCUGAUGCUCCUCCUACGGCUGUCGCCGCAUCUCUUGCUCCCGCUCUUUUUCCUCCUUCUUCCUCUGCUCCUCGACGGAGUGGAGCUCGAUGGGCCAAGGUGUCUGCCUCACGAUGGGAGAGGCCUCGACCUCCUCGUCCAUAGGGCGGGCAUCCCUCGGAGGCCCAUCGCCAGACCCGUCACUUAUAGUGAUAGGAUCUGCCUCGACCCCCGAUCGAGGAGGCUCGGGGGCUCCCUCCGGCUCUUGGAGACGGGGUGCUUCAACCCGCUUUGGCGACGAUGGGGUGGACUCCACCACCGUUGGGCGAGGCAGAGCACCCUCGAUACCGGUCAACGGCCGAGGAUCGGAGGAGCCUGCAAGCACCCGAUAGCAAAAAUCAGUCGCCAUAAUAACCAACACAAAGCUAACAUAGAGUUAGGAAUGAACCGCUAACCUGAAUCCAUGCAGGCCGCUCCCACCUUGAGCCUUUUAGCCAUCGAGGGCUGAGCCUGCUCGAGUGUUCGCUUCUACCUAAGAAAGAGGAACAGGCAUGAGAGAAGCUAGGGGAGUGCAGAGACAUCGAAGGACAGGAAUCAUGACAUUGAAACCUUACCCCAUAGGGAGAGUGACCCGCCAACCGGUACCUCGACCGGCGGGCCUCGAGCUGCCCCGCGUCAAGGCUCCAGGCACCUCUCGAGCAGGCGCCGGCCUCGGCUCGACAUCUCCCGCUUGGCCGGUGCCUGGACUGGCGCUCCUGCGAUCCGUUCCCCCCUUGCUGGAAGCCGCAGCGCGGCCGCGAGUCAGCGGCCCCGCCGUCAAUUACUUGACCCGAUGGCCCGCCUUAGACGCGGGAGGGGGCUGGGGGCGGGAGACAUCCCGACCUGGUGCAGGUUCUGAAGGAGUGUCGGCGCGGGGACGUCUCCCUCCGCUGACUUUCACGAGACCCGCUUGGCGCCCCCCUUUGGACUUCCAUCCGUGGGACGUCGACGGCGGUCGGAGGCGGGCCAUCGAGGAUCUGGUCGAGACGGGACGCCAUUCCCUCGAAAUCGUCGAUCGUCGUCACCAUCACCGCCAUCAUCCUCAUUGGGGGAUUCUUCUUCAGGCUCCCCCCUUUGCCUGGACUUUGCUCGACGCGCCUCUAACGCUUGGCGAUCGAGAUUCUUCUUCUUUUCCUUCUUCUUUUCUCAGUCCUUUGCGAACUUUUGCUUUUUAGCGGACUGGCGCCGCUUGUCGCGGUCGACCUCGUCCUCCUUUACUGGAGGCCUCGAGGACCGAACGUCGAUCGGUCCCUGCGAGAGCAAAGACAAGCUUAAAGAGGGAUCAAAGGAAAUCCAGAAUCGAAGCCAUAUGCAAGAAAGGAACUUACCAGAUCGAUUGACCCCACGUCAGGCCUCAUAGGGAAGCCAUUGACAUGCUCCGACUGGAAGUCGCCAGCGACAGCCGCCCUGACCCGAACCGCGACCUCAUCAUCCGCCGGAGCCUCGUUGGACAUCCGGCACGCCUCGAGGUCCCAGGACGAAACGCCGGGACCCAUCUCGUCCAUCCUCAGCGGCCGAGACAUCAACGGGAGAACCCUCCGAAGAUGGACGGCCGAGAGGACGAGAGCGGCGGUCAGGCCUUCCUCGUGUAAUUUCUUCAAGGCGUCGAGGAGGGGGUCGAGAUGCGAUUGGUGGACUUGGACGACGCCGUACGUCCAGUUCUCUGGGCGCUCCAUGAUUAAGCGACCGGUGUAGGCUGGAAGGAGGCCAUCAUCGUUCUGCAAGUAGAACCACUGGGAGUCCCAUCCGGCGUGGUUCGAUGAUGAUCCCACUGGGAUGUACUCGCGUGGCCUCUCCGUUUUGCCGGUCUUCAGCACUAGAUUGAGGCACCCGGCCCGCACGGGUUUCCUCACUCCAGCAGUUCCGGCGGGAGCAUUGAAAAGCUCGCCCCGGUACAGGUGGAGCCACAAAUCCCAGUGGGGCAUCAUCCCCAAAUAGCCCUCACACACCGUGGCAAAGACUGCCACGACGGUGAUGGCGUUUGGGGAGAAGUGCUGGAGCUCCACCCCGUGGUGAUGGCAAAGUGCCUGCAUGAAGCGACUCGGAGGAGCUCCCAAGCCGUGGCGGUGGAACUUGGCAAAUGAAACCAUGUAGCCCUUGGGUGGAUUGGGCUCCCGGUGGUCCGCCGCUGGCGCGAUCCACUCCGGCCGCGACGACGACGUGCGGGGGUGUAGGAGUCCCUCCCUCUCAAGCUCCAACAGCCGGCGCUCCGUCAUCGACGACGGGCGCCAGUCAUCGGCGGCGACGAGUCUCACAGGCAUUUUUGGGUGAAAGAAAGGCAAACUCACUACUACUCAAGGGUGCGCGCGCACGUGAGAUGGCAACGGAGCUGAGGCAGGAAUGGAGGCAGAAGGCGGAAGGGAGAACGGCAGCAAGGCCACGGGAUAUUUAUAGACGGCAACCCGCCAACGGACAGAUCCGAUAAACACGGUAACUCCCCCCAUAAAUGCGCCGCCUAACAGUCUUUUUCCUCCUCACAGACGGGACGCUACGAAUUCUGCGCCGAUACAGUGUCGCAACGGCCACCGCCUGAAAAGAUGCACCCAACGGGCAAAACGGUGAACCGCCGCGGUCCUUUUCCUUCCCCUAUAAGCCAAGGUACGUACCCAUGAAAGUCUCGAGAGGUCGCAGGCUAACCCACCGAAAGGGUUCGAUAGUCGAUCUCGAGUACCAGAGUCAGGGAUGCCCGGCGAGUGGUCGAAAAUCGAGGCCCGCCUCGAAGAACUCGCUGGGGAUGUCCGAGGUGGGGUUGAGACAGCCGAGAGGAAUCCCCCGAAGGGAGGCAUCGAGCCACUGGACUCUAUCAAACGAGACCAGCAUCCCCGACCACGUCGACCCCGCUUUAUGAGAACGCCUCCAGGCUACAGCCGACCCCCUCGAAAGGGGCACAAGUUCUCACUUGGACUACCCGUUAGGAGCUCAAUCUAGGGUGGAUGACGCUCGCUCUAUCGAGAGUACGUCGAAACCCCUGCGCAAGACCGUCCAAUCAGAACCUUCCACCACAGGUGUCGACAGUGUUUCUGCAAAUUAGGCGACAUAACCCUCAAAGGAGUCAAAAACUCCUCCAAGGGCUCGGGGGCUACCCCCGCGGGGUCGCUCGCACGCCCCCACGGAACCUCAACCAUAAAGUAUAGCCUCCACUCGAGCGCCAGUGCUCAAAUGGAGACUUGGGGGCUACUGUCGGGGAUAUUUGUAAGGGGUACCUUAACUGAUGUGCAUAACAAGAACACCCGUACGUAAGUCGAGGCCUCCAACUCGACGCUCUACCCAGUCACACGUACGGUCCUCGACGACCGCAGCCUCGAAGACGGAAAGGGCAUCCUGCGAAACGAUCAGAGCUCGAGCGCAGGCUACCGUCGAAUAAGGAAACAGGCUCGAGCGAAUCAGAGGGCGUCGAGUGUCACAGAACCGACCAAAUUAUAAGAGUUCAAGUGCAGAAACGAUCGUCAAACAAUCAAGUUUCUAAACUUGAGCCCAUAUAAUCCCGGUAGUCAAUCGAAAUCACGAAGGACUUCAAACCAACUCGCAACAAACCAAGAUCGUAAUAGUUCAACAUAAACACAACGAAUGUUACAUAGUCAUUCAUUGCCGUCGAAGCGGCACCACAUCGGAGUAUUAAGUUAUUACAACACAUGUUCGAAGUAGCGGAAGCAAAAUAAGUACACACACUUGUUCUAAGUUCAGUUCACAAGUUUGUUACUGCCAGAGUCUAGGUCAUCCUUCCAAAAGCAUCAUAGACGAGAAGAUUAGAGAACCGUGCCCAACGGUUAGUCCUCAUCCCCAGCGGGAUGGAGACAGGUCUUGCAGAAACCGUCAUAGAAGAUAUCAUCUGCAACAGGUGGGAAUAAACCCUGAGUACGAGGAUGUACUCAGCUAGACUUACCCGUCUAGUAACAUAAAAGACACCAAGGAUCAUGCAAGGCUGAGUUUUAAGUGGAGCUGGUUCACUCACCUCUUUGCCAAAAGCUUAACUUACCACUAAGUUAUUUUAAGAGCAUCAGAUUUAUUUCUCAUCAGCCUACCACUAGAUUAGCACCUAUACUACAACACAUCAUUUGAUUAUUACAAACAAUAGUAACCAUAUCAAUUUCAUCAUAUGUUCUUCUUGCUAUCAUCAUUAUCAUGAACCAAGUUCAUUAGUGAAUGCUACGUUUGCCGCUGCACUGUCAAGUUCUCACUAACCGGGAGAGACGGCGAUUCGAAUCGAAUUCCUAUCCAGCUGGAGGUUUAUUCCUAGCACUCACCCAAGCAUCCCCUGCCGGAGAGCCAACGGGUCACCUUUGGUACGACUCAGAAAUCGCGGCUCCGAUCAGCGCCGCACUCCCAGGGCUACCACUCUGCCAGGGAGGUCAGGAAUUUUAACUCACCUGCCUUUGGACUUACGCCAAUGGUCCCCCGCACACCGCACUUCCUCCGGUAGUGCGCACUUUAUACUUGCCGGUCUUCCGGCCUGAGUCAUACUACUCGGCUUCGCGGUCGGAACGAGUUAUCCGGCCAACUAAGUGUCAGGCAUGCGUUCAACAUGACAAGAGGACGUACAACGAUCGGUCCUUAGCUGCCACAGACGGAGUCACUACAAACUUGCAAAACUCCGCCCGGCUUAAAUCAAUUUAAUCAGGUUCCAUCCACGAUAGCACAUAUAGACCAUCGCGACCCGACACAACCCUAUAUCGCGCGGAUGACAGGAUAUCACCCGACUUCUACCGGUUAAAGCAUAACUAAGCUACUACUCGAACCUAACUCUACAACCAGUAAGGGUAAGUUAUCUGGACAAGGAUAGAGUAGAAUGCAGCAACAGUUUCAUCACAACUCCUAUACGUAAUGCAUCAAUAGGUAUAACGUAUUAAGUAAACUUUCGAAAAUAGAGGAGGCUUAAAAUGCUCCGGGGCUUGCCUUUCACGAACGAUGCCGGCUCGUGACUCGGGCACUCAACUUCUUCUUCGGGCUCCUCGAGUCCGGCUUGCUGGACCUCCACCUCCUGGCUGCCUUCCUGGCCUUCGGGGUUCGCUUGGAGCUCGAAGGAAACUGCCACGUCCGGUGCACCUAUUGCAUGCUCGAUGAAUGAGAAGGUGCACAUGCCACAGAUGAAUGCUUAACAACACAAGCAACUCACUGGACACUCAUUUACGGAGCAAGAGUUAUACUAACUCACAUGAAUAAACAAGUUAACAUAACCCAAACCUAUCAUGGCACCAAAGCAGCAAACAACAUAAAACGAGUAGGCUCAGUAAAUAAAUCAUAAUUAUAGAUAGAUAGGUCCAACGAACAUGAGUAAGGACAUUCUGGAAAGCUUAGGAAAUUAUCUACAACUCAUCUUUAAACAUGACAGCAAGAUUCAAACAUUAAACUAGUCAUUUUAACAAAGUUCCAGGUUCUGUCCCAGAAAAACAGAGAACCCCUAUUUCUGGAACCCAACUUGGAACAGCUAUAACUUUUAAACUACUUGACUAAAUGACCUCAAAUUUAAACCACAGUUAGUUCAACAAGUUUAGAACAACUUUGUUUUAUACAAGUUCCACAGAAAGUCAAAUUAUCAUUAAGCCAAGUUAAAUUAUUCACUGGCUGUCCAGACAGCAUUUAACCCUAUAGUUAAUUAUUUAAUGACAUGAUCAAAACACAAACUAUGCCAACCAUAUGACUCAUGAGCACAAACAUAAUACAAGGUCACCAGAUCAUCAGUUGAAAAACCCAAAACAAUUACUUAACAAGGCAUUUAUUAAUUAAUUUUAGGUAAGGCAUAUUUACAAGAUAUUAGUUAAAGUGCUCAGAAAAAUCUACAAAAAUUACAGAGGCACAAGUAUAACAUCAGAUUACCACCAUAAAAAUUUCAGGACCAAUGCACAUGCCAAAUUAAAGAUAUGCAUUUAACAUGUAUUAAGACAUUUAUUUCAUAAAUUCAUAGACAUGACUUAUAUAGUGUCAACCAACAGAUUUCAGAUUAUUUAUGUCUUAGGAAUGCCAUAAACAAGUUUACCACCAAAAUAGAGCACCAGCAUAAGCACCAAUUAUUUUAUGUGAUUUAAUUAAAGAAACAAGCCAUAUUUCAAACACAAAUUACAUAUCACCACUGCAGUGCUCCAAAAAUCAUGAAAUAAUUAUCAGAGCACUCUAAUGCCAUGCAAAGGCCACCAUAAAAAUUUCAGAGCAAACAACUCAGUAAAACCAGAGAUAUGCAUUUAUCCAUGAAUAACAAGAUUAAAUCCUUAAUAAAUAAUUUCUCAGAAAACAUGAUUCAUUUUAUAUUUUUAUUAAAUACUAGCCAUCUCAAGAAACAACACAAAAUUUGUUUCACAAUUUUUGGAUCUCAGAAACAGGAGAUAUGAUUUUUGCAAGAAAGCCAAAAAUCAAGAUUUUGAAUAAAAGAAAAGGAGGGAAAGAGAGAGUCGCUGACAGUGGAUCCCACCCGUCAGGCUCUUCUUCCUCACGGCCUAGGCGAUCUUCGCCGGCGAUUUCUCCGCGACGGCGAGGUCUCCGGCCAAACCCAGGGCAUCAACGUGAUCCCCAAACCCUAACGACUCGAUUGACCCCACUUUUGCCACGGCGGAGCCACCGGAAGGGACUCACCGUCGGCAAUGGCGGCUCGGCGGAGGUGCUCGGCGUUACGCCGGAGCCCUCAGGCCGGUAGAGCGUGACCUAAGGCCUUCUACAGCACCAGCAGACUAGGGCGAAGCUUCCUAGGUACGCGGCUUGGCCUGGAUCCCCGUGGAAAGUGCUGGCCACGAGAGCACCCAACUCCGGCGGAAGCACGGCGGCGCUGCACACCGUGUCCGGCGACGGAGAACCCGGUAGAGCGUCCACCAGGUGGCGCAAAAGCUCGCUAAAGACCUAAGCUACCUCUAGGACCUAACCAAAGACGAUGAGAAGCCUCACAACGCUCGGCAUUGAGUUCGCCGGAGAAGAGAGUCACGGCGGACCGAUUUGGGGGAAGAAAGAAAUGUCGGCUCACCGGUGGGUUUCUCGGCGAGUUAGAGGGUGGAGCUUGGAGAGCGGCUCACGGCGGAGCUUUGGGUGGAGUUUGGUGGACGAAAACGCAGAGAGGAGCGCACACGAGCUCGCCGGAGUGAGCUCGCGGCGGAGAGCUCGCUGCGGGCGAGGUUCAGGCGAGAGAGGGCGAGGCAGAGCGAAAUGGACGCGUCCACUCGCUCGGGGCGUCGCCGUGGUGGUCAUGCACGCGACGAGGGCUGACAGGCGGGGCCAGGAACGGCGUACGGGCGCCAAAUGGCGACGGAGCGCUGCCGGCGGUCGGCCACGUCGACGAGGUCCAAGUCGAUUCAGACAGUGCAUCGACCGACUGACAGAGCGAAUCCACCGGUGAUUAUCUCCCAAACCAGAGCGAAUUAGGAGAUGAUGCAGUUGACAAAGUUGGAGUUCCAAUCGAGUUCUACAACAUUGUCAACUAGAGCAAGGACUAGAUCGGCCUGGAUUGAAAGAUAUAGAGUUUUCAAAACCGAUCAAGCAAACUGCAAACCACCCGGGGACUUAGAAAAUUUCCUAAGUGUUGGAAACAGCCCCAAAUUUGCCUUGUGGGUCACUUUUGAGCUAGAUGUGUUCAUUUUCAUGAGAUGGCCAUAAAACAAAUUUUGUUCCUUAUAAAAUUUUCUACAACUUUGCUGUAGAAAGUUUUGACAUGCAAACAUUUUAUGAAACACUUUUUAAAAGCCUAAGCAAAAGAGGUUUCUAGGGCCUAUUUGCAUAAGUAAGACUUAAGUGAUUAUUUUGGAGAAGUGAUCAACAUGAACAUUGUUCCCAAGAUUAAGUUAAGCAUAGAUAAGCUAUUUACCAAGGCAUUAAGCACAAACACAAGCAUUGUUCACUCAAACAUAAGCAUAGGAAGCCUAUUUAAGCCAUUUAAAACACAUUUUUGCAAAGGAUGACAUGUCCCAAGAUAGAUGAUGAUCAUGGAUGCUUUGAAUAAAUGAUGAUGCUCAUGCUAUGCACAUGUUUGAUGCAGCCAUAACACUGGGGUGUUACAUCGAGCGCAAGGACUCCGCCCGCCGCCUGACGCGGGCACGAGAACUAGGGCAUUUAAUGCGCCUGCCGCGUUCUCACCUAACCCGCAGGUCACGGGAAGCGUGAUAGGGAACAGGCACGCGUCCCGUCAUUCUUUUUGCAGCCUUCCCCACCAAACAAGCCAGAACGUGGCAGAACACAGGGAGUGGGUCGGAACGUCUAUUCAUGACCCCCCUCGAGACGUCUAAGGUCAGCGCCCUGGCUGGCAAGGCAUUAUACAGCACCAGACACUCGAGUAGGCACAUUUCCUUCCUGGAGAAGAGUUGGGCGACGGGUCACAGCACCCCGACCACCUCGACGCAGAUGCUGCCGUGACGUAAAAUGGGUGACAGCACCCCGCCACCCCGACGCAGAUGCUGCCGCGACGUACAAGCGUACAACAGAUAAACCAGCCCAGGACGGCGCACAGAGCAGGAUACCGGGGCACGCGUAAUCAUCAUCAAGCUAUCAGGACAAGAUGGCUCGAAACCACGCCGGUACGGAGGCCUCGAGUAGGUCAGCGCGCCAUACCUCUAACGACCCCUACUCUGACGCCUAUACAUGUACCCUAGGUCUCUCCUUGGAACUAUAAAAGGGGAGGCCCGGGAGCGGAUACAGGGGACGCGAUACAACACAACAUCACACAACACACACGUAGUAGAGCUUCCAUACUCCACCUCCAUCCCAGUUCAUACACGCUUGUAUUCACCCCCGUACAAGCACUUAGGUGCAGAAUAAUACAAACUCUCCCCCCCGCUGGACGUAGGGCCUUCUCUUGCCCGAACUAGGAUAAAUCUUUGUGUCUUUUUGCAUCACCAUCUAGGAAAGGGAGCACGCAUACAAAUUUACUGGUUGGUGUGACCCCCCGGGGGGAAAACACUGACACAUUGAGUGGAAACUUUCCUAGCAUUUAUAUCCCUGAGAAAGAGAAAGAACCAGUUCGUAGACAAGAAGAAGAAGUUUUGAUAGCAAGAUCACAACCACUUCAAUCCCAAACUUUAGCUAUCGAUCCUAAACCAUCAAUACCCCAAAAUUCUCCAAGGGAGGAAGGAAUUACAACUUUAAAUCUUUCAGAUACUGAUGGUUUAGACUUCUGGUUCCAUAAGAGACCUUCAAGUAGGGAUAAUUCAAAUCCUUGCAAUAAUGGUUCUCUUAGAGAAUGUCCUGGUUCCUAUUGUGAAGAAGUUGAGGAUGACAUAUCAAGUGAAGGAGAGCUAAACCAUAUAGAAGAUUCUAUCUGCUCAACUUCCAUGUUCAUAAAUUCUAAAUCCAUCCUUGACCUUAGAGAUCCCUCUUAUCCCUCUUCUUUUCAGUGUCAUGAUGAUCCUAGCAAUUCACCAAGACGACCAAACCAUAGUAGUCAUGAAGACCAUAAGGAUGGCAUCCCAAGUAAUGCCAUAGAAGGAGAGCUAAGCCAUAGAGAAGAUUCUAUCAGCUCCCCUGUCUUGAUCACAAGUUCUAAAUGGCUAGAAUGCGUAGAAUGGAUGGAUAAGGAAGAAGCUUUAAUGGAUUCUGACUUUGGCUCAAUUUCAAAUGGUGAGUUCUUGACUCCCUUUGAAGAUGAGAUUCAUCCAACUACAGAAGAGGACAUAGGUGAGACCGAUCCAGGAGAAACUCUGAACAUUCAGAUUGGAGACGAAGAUAACUUUAAUGAGCAUGAAAUUUAUUUCAUAGCCAUUUCGUUUACUCCAUGCUCAUAUGCAACAUCUUCCCAAUCUAUUGGUCUCUCCAACAUCACCACAUUUGAGAUCUCCAACCCCCUCUGCCUUUCUAUUUAUAAAAACUUUAAAAGGGUGGUUGUCGAAGCAUAUGUCUAUAAUAAAUAUUGCAGAUCUCGUUGAAUUGAUCUUGAUAUAGGUCAGCAUUGCAAGGGAAACCACUUAGCCGACAUAAAUUGAUGGUUUCCCAAGGACAAGCUUAGUGUCUUAAAAUAAGCACUGAUCAGAUCCUAACAUGAGCUUUUAAUUAUUUACAACAUUACCUAGUGUAUUGAGCAUAUAAGGAUAAUCGUAAAAAUAUUCCUUCGGGUAUUCUUGUCACUAACCUUUCUAGGAUUGGAGCAAGAAGAUCGGAUAAAUGACAAGCACAAGGUAUGUCCAACGAAUCAUCAUACAACAUUGAAUUAAAUUCAUCCAAACUUGAAUUUUGCAAAAUUCAAGCUUGGCGGAGUACUUUACAUAAAAACAUCCUUUGCCAUGUUGCUAUGUUGGUUGUCCCUACCUUUGAGACAUGCUCAAUUUGUUAAAUACUAAUCACACUACUUCAUCUCCACUUGAGUAGAUCUCUAUAUAUGCUCUCAUGCUACCUUUAUUUGCUUUAGUAUAUGUUUAGGUUUGGAGUAGUUUCAUUUAUCUCUUAAAUAAGCAUGGUGCUUAGUUUAGGAAUGAUGAUCUUACUUCCAAGGGAUUUUAAAUUAAGCAUGGUGCUUAGGUUAAAAUGCCCUCCUAAAUCAAAUUAGACAUGGUGUCUAGGUUGAUUUUUGAGCCGAUAGUAUGCUAUAGUAGAUAUUGGAUAUUUUGUUGGACUAACCCCUGCAGGAAAACUUUCAAUAUCGAUUUGGGAAGUCCUGAGAUAAACUCACAUUGGAGACAAAGAGAGAGACACAUCAUGUUUAACAAUUUACACAAGGAAGACGUAGCUCAUAAGAGAUGAUCCAUGGAGGGUGCCGCAAACAAGAUGCACAAAGAAAGGAAAGCUUCUACAAGGUGAUACUGUACCAUCACUCUUCAAUUAAGGUAACAUCUUAAGGUACUUGACUAUCACUUUUAUAAGCUUCUCCUUGGUUCUGGCAUUCAUAUGAAUAAAAGAGACAAACAUGUAUGAUUUACAACUCUAAGUUAACCAACCCAAUCGAUUCAACAUGUUUAGUCCUUCCACCUUUGUGAUCCCACACUCCUAAUCAUAUGAGCUAAAAUAUUGCAGAUUCAAUCUUUGAGAGAUAUAAAGAAAAAGACAUAUACAUAGAUAGAUUAUCUUUCCAUAAGGUUGAAGCGAUCUGAUCUGACAAAUGUUUUAAAUACUACACUCAUGAUCUUGUUAUCCAUCAAAUUUGUCUUGCUCACUAUGCUUAAGGUUAGAGAAGAACAAAUACACUUUUGGUUCUGUUGGUGUUUUCCACCAACAGGACCCAUGCACUUGAUCUCUGCCUUGUCUCUAUGAGCAAGUACACUUGGAGCAAAACAUGGUGGAGUUUUACAACUCCCAGAUUCCACCAAGUGAAAGACCUGGAUCUACGAGCACAAACACACUGAGCAGGAUGCUGCCAACGCCGCACUUCGAACUGCUGGGCAAAUGAAGAACAUGGGUGACACCGUAUCAAGAGGUGCAGACGUCAAGGUCCACACCUGAAUCAAAUGACGCACCUAACGAAUGAACACGGUGAGAAGUCUUGUUCAGAAGACUUAAAACAUUGAACCCUCACCGAAAGGUAAAAUCGGUAGUUAUCCAUAUUUAUCCUUUUUGCAUUCCCUUUUCCCUUAAAUUAUUUACUGUUGACACCAUUUUUGGGCACGUGUCCAGGAUGGCAGGAUAGGGUGGCAGUACGAUGCGGGUUGCUGAUGAGGAUGGUUGCCGAUGAGGGAGAGGUUGAAUGUGACUAAGUCCACAGGCAGUAAUAUGGUGCCGAUGACUGGAUAAAAAGGUCUGCCGAUGAUUAUGGCAAGGGGAUUGCCGAUGACGCGAAGGAGGAGUCCGGAAGCUGCCAGUUGUCAUGUGGAGGAGUUUCGGUUUGUCACGAAGGAUAGUUUUAUUAUUUCCUUAGUUAUUUGCAUCGUUUUGUAUACGGAUUCCGUGUAAUUUGGAAUUCGAAUUCUAAUCGUGUCUGGUCGUAGCUCUUUGAGCAGGGUAUAAAUAUAAACCCUAGGACCUUGUAAUCAAAGAAAAAAAAGAAAUCAAUCAAACACACGUUUUUACUCAUAUUCCAGCAUCUACUUUUCGACGACUUCGUCAUACUUUUUUUUCCUUUUAUUACGAGUUCUUAGGAAUUCGUCGACUUAAGCUCGGCGUGUUCUCGAGUUCCGCGUGAGUACCUCUUAGCCGUGACAUCCGGGCGCAUCGCUGUUGUCAGGACUAAAGUAUUCGAGUUAUCACCUUUGCCGAUAGCAAGGUCAAAUCGGCUGGCACGCCUUAACGUUUGAAUCGGGUAUUAGCCCUUUGUGUUUGCAGAUCAGUUUUGCAUCAACACAUCUUUUGGCACGCCUGGUGGGACCGAUUCAAGAUCAAGAUCAACAUGUCGAUCUCUGACCUCGAUCAAGAGAACGUCAUCCCCGUGACGGAAGCCAACCUCAAGGAUGAGCAAAAGCAAGCUAUUGCCCAAGCCAUGGAAGAGUUCAAGCAGCAAUGCCUGAGGUCUUUCAGCAUAAACAGGAGCGGCGAAGUGGUCCAGAAAGAUGCACUGCCGGCACCACGGCAGGUCACCUUUGACGCCAAUCCUGGCAAGCUUCAAGAUAUGGUUGACAAUGCCAUCAAUCGGGCGUUGAUUAACCAAGCUGGUGUACUGUCUAAUACGGUUUUCAAUGCCGUGGCAAGAACUUUCAAGGAAGGACAAAUCCCGCCAGAUUAUGUGGGGCCCUCCCAUCAUCAGCCAACGGCACCAGAGGUCACGGCUCCAUCGGCUGCCUUGACGAAUGCAAGUGCACAGUCUGCCGUCCCUCCAAGUACAUUGGGGACUACUGGUGCACUAUCUAUGCCGAUGGCAACCAACCCACAAAUUUCAGUUGGGCAGCAUAAACUGACAACAGAUAUGUUGGCAUCGGCAAUGUCAGGGUUAACUCUUCCUCCCAACUGGUGGGGUUAUGGUAUGCCUCCAGAGUUGACGCCGGGAACAUCACAGAUAACUGACAUGAGGGGCAAAACUCCUAUGACAUCGGCACCUUCCAAUGUGCCGGUGAACCAGAGUCCUCGGUAUACCACAACUACUACUGCAAGGCCUCACACUGGAAAUCCUCAAGAUUCAAUGUUCCAGAUGCCCAACGCAUCGGCAGAGUCAAUGCUGAUGCAACAGAGGCCUAUGGCCCAGUCGGGGUAUGUCAAUUCAAUGACGGUACCCAAUUACCAAUCAUCGGCAGCACCUAUGCCGAUGAACGCUAAUAAUGGAUGGCUUGGACAGCAAGCCUUUCCACAAUCGCCCCAGCAGGGUUAUCAGACUACAGGGUUCCAGCAAGGGCAGGUCUAUCCCGGGUUCCAAGGUCAGGGGAUUCCCAACCAGCCAAUAAAUUUUGGGCAGCAACUCAGAGGACAGCCAAUCGGUGGACAGCAGUUUGGUAGUCCGCAGAUUGGAGGACAGGUGACCAAUACAAUGUUCCAUGCAGGUCACGUCCCAAACAGACACCUGGAGGUUCGCCACCAAGUGCCAGAUCCGCAGCCGCCUCAUCGGCAAGAUGCCGAUGCGUAUUGGGCCGAUAAGAUUGCUGAAGUAAUGAGGGAACAAUUUGGGAUAAAACCCAAAGUCAACACUUAUUCUUAUCGGACACCGUAUCCUCCAGCGUAUGAUUUGAUCCCGCUUCCACAUCGGUACAAGGUACCGGAUUUUACAAAGUUUUCCGGACAAGACGACACGUCAACUAUGGAGCAUGUCAAUAGGUUCAUUAUUCAAUGUGGAGAGGCUGGUAACAGGGACGAAUUGAGGGUUCGUCUAUUUUCAUCAUCAUUGUCUGGAUCGGCCUUUACUUGGUUCAUAUCAUUACCUCCCAACUCAGUAAUUACUUGGGCCGAUCUAGAGAAGCAAUUCCACAGAUACUUCUUCUCGGGGGUUCAUGAGAAGAAGAUCACCGACUUGGUCAAGUUGAGGCAACGUAAUGAUGAGUCGGUUGAGGGAUUUGUGCAGAUGAUACGAGAGGUCAAGAAUAAAUGCUAUAGCCUGGUUCUGGAUGAUCGGCAGCUAGCCGAUUUGGCUUUCCAGGGUUUGUUGCCACAUAUCAGGGAUAAGUAUGCCUCUCAGGAGUUCGAAAGUUUAAGUCACUUGGUGCAGAGGAUAUCUGAUCAAGACAUCAAGCCUUUCGAGCCUAAGAGGGCAUGGAAUAAGAAAGUGUCAUUUGUUGAUGAAGCAACAAGCUCAGAUUCCGAUGAAGAACCAGUAAUCGGUUUGGCAGAGUGGGUAAAAAACAAGAAGCCGAUGUCUUGUCCUUUUGGGCAGAAGGAACCAGAGAAGUUUGCCUUUGACACCGCCAAGGCCGAUAGGAUAUUUGACUUUCUACUUCAGGAAGGUCAAAUCAAACUGUCACCUAACCACGUGAUCCCGUUGGCAGAAGAGUUGAAGAGGAUGAGAUAUUGCAAGUGGCAUAAUGCAACUUCACAUGACACCAACGAGUGCAAAGUAUUCAGACAGCAGCUGCAAUCGGCUAUAGAGUCAGGGAGAAUCAAGUUUGACAGUUCUAAAGCCCAGAAGCCGAUGAAGAUAGACCAACAUCCUUUCCCGACAAACAUGUUGGAUGCUAAGGGGAAGGCUAAGGUCUUAACGUCGGAGACAGCUGAGAAGAGUGCAUCGGUAGAUCCUCAGCAUCAAGUUACUACUGCCGAUGCAAGAAGUAAAGGCUUGGUCCAGGAAGGAACUAGCUCAAGAAGGCUUCCUCGAUCUGGCAUCGUCAUAACUCAUAGGAGGCCUCGAGAAAAAUGGCAACAACGGGAAGAUCGGUAUCGACGCCAGCAGGAAGAUUAUCAACGGGAAGAAGAAAGCCGCCGGCAGGAGUGGAAUCGGCACAGGGAUCAUUGGAAUUGCCCAUUCUUCAUCCAUUGUUGGGAGGAAAAUAUCAAGCUUCCUACUGUCAGAGACUGCCCUGAAUGCAACGGUUAUGAUCGGUACGAUAGGAACGAUCGGCGUUAUCAUGAUGAUGAACGGCGAGCUAAUGGGCCGAUCAGAAGAAGGGUGUCAGUUCAUGACCGGCUGGGGGGCAGAUUCAGUGGGCACAACAGACUUAGUGACCGUGUCCAGUAUUUUCCCAGGAACCAAGAGGAGCUCGAAGGAAUGGCUGAUGCGCGGGUUCCCGAUGAAUUCAUAUUUUGCAGGGAUGCUAACACGCAUCGCAUGGAGUCAAGGGAGAACCAAUGCCCGACGGCAAGGCAAAGGCCACUUCCUCCAUGGUGCCCUCAAGGAUUAACCAAGACACAGAAAAGGAGAUUGCAACGAGAAAGGCAAGAGGAGCUAAACAAGGGAGAGAACUCUGGAAGUCGGCAGCCGUCAGACACUAAGAGGGAAGGUCCAUCGGCAGGCGUCAACAUGGUCUUCAUGUUGCCGAUAGAGUUUCUUGCACCAGCCAGUGACGAUGAGUUGGAAUUUUCUGAUCAGAUAGCUCAGUUGGCUCUGGAUCCGAUGACGGCUAUCUUUGAGAAACCUGCCGAUGACGAGAGGCAGCAUCUUAAAGCUUUGUUCCUCAAAGGAAGGGUUGAUGGGCAGCCAAUGACUAAGAUCCUAGUUGAUGGUGGAGCUGCUAUUAAUAUUAUGCCGUAUGCAGUAUAUCGGAAGCUUGGGAAAGGGGAUCAAGAUUUGACCAAGACCGAUAUGAUGCUCAAAGACUUUGAAGGAAACGUGUCUCCAGUCAAGGGGGCGAUAUGUGCGGAGUUGACCAUCGGCAGCAAAACCUUGCCGACAACUUUUUUCAUGAUCAGCGGAAAAGGUGCCUACAAAUUAUUAUUGGGGAGAGAUUGGAUUCAUGCCAAUUGUUGUGUCCCAUCUACAAUGCAUCAGUGCUUGGUUCAGUGGGUAGGUGACAAGAUUGAGAUCGUCCCAGGGGAUUCUUCUUAUGUUAUCGCAUCGGCAGAAGCGGAUACUUAUGAAAAGACUAGGUGCAUUUCAGGAGAAGUUUGGGAGAAAGAUUUUCUCAAAGUUGUCGAUUAUGAGAUUCCACCGAUCCAAGCAGUCGGUUCUGACGACGGUUUUUAAUGGAUAGAUUCGCCGAUGAUGGAAAAUUAGGCCAGGGAUUCACAUCGGCCGAUGAUUUGGUAGAAGUAGAUAUAGGUAGUGGUGAUAAGCCUAGGCCUACUUUUAUUAGUGCUAAAUUAGAUCCUGAGUGUAAGCGACAAUUGACUAGUUUGUUAAAGGAAUAUAAAGAUUGCUUUGCUUGGGAUUAUACAGAGAUGCCUGGUUUAGACCGAUCAAUUGUCGAACAUCGGUUACCCAUCAAGUCUGGAUUUCGGCCACAUCAGCAACCAGCCCGCCGAUGUAAUCCUAACAUUCUACCUGAUAUUAAGGCCGAAAUCACUAAACUUAUUGAAGCCAAGUUUAUUCGGCAGUGUCGGUAUGCCGAAUGGAUUUCCAAUGUUGUUCCGGUUUACAAGAAGAACGGGAAGCUUCGGGUUUUCAUUGAUUUCAGGAAUCUCAAUAAAGCUACGCCGAUGGAUGGAUACCCAAUGCCUGUCGCCGAUCUACUGGUUGAUGCUGCGGCUGGCCAUCGGGUCAUCAGCUUCAUGGAUGGUAAUGCAGGAUACAAUCAAAUAUUCAUGGCAGAGGAGGAUAUUCCAAAAACCGCAUUCAGGUGUCCUGGUCAUGUUGGACUAUUUGAGUGGAUAGUCAUGACUUUUGGGUUAAAGAAUGCUGGUGCUACUUAUCAAAGGGCUAUGAAUUUCAUAUUUCAUGAGUUCAUCGGCAAGCUCGUAGAGAUUUAUAUUGAUGAUGUGGUGGUUAAGUCUGGAGAUUUCUCAAAGCAUCUUGCCGAUUUACGAAAAGUGUUGGAGUGCACAAGGAAGCAUGGAUUGAAGAUGAAUCCCAACAAGUGUGCAUUUGGCGUAUCGGCAGGGCAGUUUCUUGGUUUCAUGGUACAUCAGAGGGGUAUUGAAAUUAGUCGAAGAUCUAUUGAUGCUAUCAAUAAAAUAGUGGCCCCUACCAAUAAAACCGAGCUCCAAUCCUUGAUCGGCAAGGUGAAUUUUAUCAGAAGAUUUAUAUCGAAUUUAUCUGGGAGGAUUCGUGCUUUCAGUCCUCUCCUUAAAUUGAAAGCCGAUCAAGAGUUUGUUUGGGGAGAAGAACAGCAGUUGGCUCUGGAUGAAAUCAAAAAGUAUCUAGUAAAUCCUCCAGUUUUAGUUCCACCUCAACAAGGGAAGCCCUUCAAAUUGUAUUUAUCUACCGAUGGAUCGGUUAUCGGUUCAGCUUUAGUUCAAGAAUUUGAAGGGAAAGAGAGGGUAAUUUAUUAUUUGAGUAGGAGGUUGAUUGAUGCUGAAACCAGGUAUUCGGCCAUUGAAAAGCUGUGCUUAUGCUUAUAUUUUUCAUGUAUCAAGCUGAGACAUUACCUGUUGUCGGCCGAAUGUGCUGUUGUUUGCAAAGAUGACGUGGUCCGAUACAUGCUAUCUAUGCCGAUUAUGAGUGGUAGGAUCGGUAAAUGGAUUUUAGCGCUGUCGGAGUUCGAUUUGCGUUACGAAUCGGCUAAGGCAGUCAAAGGGCAGAUUAUGGCCGAUUUUGUGACUCAGCAUUGCGGUCUAGUGGAAACCUUGGAAAUUGCACCCUGGACGCUCUUCUUUGAUGGAUCUACCUGUGACCGGGGAGCAGGAAUCGGCAUUGUAUUAGUUUCUCCUAAGGGGAGGAAGUAUGAGUUUUCCUUGCCGAUUGUUGCUACAUCAACAAAUAAUCAGACUGAGUAUCAAGCUCUGAUCAAGGGAUUGGAGUUGUUAAGAGAAGUUCGUGCUGAUGCUGUUGAAAUAUUCGGGGAUUCUAUGUUGGUUAUAAAUCAAUUGGCCGGAAGCUAUGAAUGCCGAAGUGAAGUUCUCAUAACCUAUUUCGAGAGAAGUAUGCAACUGUUAAAGGAAUUCAAGGACUUCCGAUUGGAGCAUGUUCCCCGAUUGCAUAAUGAAGACGCUAAUCGGUUAGCCCAACAUGCCUCGGGAUAUCAGCCAAUGAUUAAUGCGACAUCGGCAGUCAGUGCCGGUGAUUGGAGGAAAGAAAUUAUUGAUUAUCUAAAAGAUCCAUCCAAAAAAGUUGAAAGACGGGUUCGAUUUCAAGCGACCAAGUAUGUGCUCCUUGAAAAUGAAUUGUAUUAUCGAACUAUCGACGGAAUUCUUCUCCGAUGCUUGGGUGAUGAUGAAGCCAGAAGUUUGAUGGGGGAAAUCCAUGAAGGAGUGUGUGGAGCGCAUCAGUCAGCUUUUAAGAUGAAGUGGAUGAUUCGAAGGAAUGGUUAUUUUUGGCCAACCAUACUUGAAGAUUGUUUUAAAUAUUUCAAGGGAUGUCAAGGUUGUCAAAAGUUCGGUAAUAUCCAGAGAGCACCCGCAUUGGCUAUGAAUCCUAUAAUAAAACCUUGGCCGUUCCGGGGAUGGGCCAUCGAUCUGAUCGGCCAGAUUUAUCCACCAUCUAGCAAAGGGCAUAAGUUCAUUCUAGUUGCCACUGACUAUUUCACUAAGUGGGUCGAAGCUAUUCCUUUGAAGAAAGUCACAUCGGCCAAUAUGAUUGAUUUUGUGAAGGAGCAUAUUAUUUACCGAUUUGGGAUUCCCCAAACGAUUACCACCGAUCAGGGCACCAUGUUCACGUCAGGGGAGUUCGAUGAAUUCGCAAUCGGUAUGGGAAUUAAAGUGUUGAAUUCUUCUCCUUACUAUGCCCAAGCCAAUGGGCAGGCCGAAGCGUCUAACAAAGGAAUUAUCAAGCUUAUUAAACGAAAGAUUGAAGAAAAUCCUAGGCGGUGGCAUACAUUGCUAAAUGAAGCACUAUGGUCUUAUCGGAUGGCUUGUCAUGGAUCAACCAAGGUGUCACCCUAUCAAUUGGUGUAUGGACAUGAUGCAGUGUUGCCUUGGGAGAUUAAGGCUGGAUCUAGGCGAUUAUCUUUUCAAGAUCAAUUGGCUGCCGAUGAUUAUGCCACUUUGAUGACCGAUGAGUUAGAUGAUUUAGCAGGGCAUCGGUUAAAGGCUUUAAUGAGUAUAGAAGAAAAUAAGAAGAGAAUUGCUAGAUGGUAUGAUAAGAAAGUAAAGGCUAAGGAGUUUACCGAUGGGGAUUUGGUAUGGAAGUUGAUUUUGCCAGUCGGGACUAAAAGUUCGAAGUUUGGGAAGUGGUCUCCUAAUUGGGAAGGUCCUUAUCGGAUAAGACACUCGGCUCCUGGUAAUGCCUAUAUUCUAGAAACUCUCGAAGGAGUUGAAUUUCCCAGAGCAUUAAAUGGCAAAUAUUUAAAGAAGUACUACCCCAGCAUAUGGGUCGAUGCAUAAAAGUUUAAGUGCCGAUAACACUCCUAUCGGCUGGAUUUAAAUGUUUGGGGGCAGACUUAAUGUUUCAAAAGAUGCCGAUAACAGUCUUAUCGGCUAGACUAAAAGCUAAAAGCGGGAAAACAAAGGUGUGUUGCCGAUGAAAGCUUCAGAUGUUCAGCAGCGCUUGGAUUGCCGAUAUGGCGCGCAGCCGGAUCUGAUUGGCUGUCUCUAUCUCUUUGAUAUCAUCAUCGGCAGAACCUUCUAUCGGCCUCAGUUUCCUCUUCAGCUGCAGCGCUUUGCGGCCGUGGACGUUUCGUUCUUGUUCAAGGUGCUUGAUGGUCUCCGGCAGUUGACUCUCUUCUUGCUGGGCUUGGGACAGAGCAUCCUCUACUUGCUUGAGUUCGACCAGUAGAGCUUCUCUUUUUGCCGAUAGAUCAAAUACUUUCUGCUUCAGUGCAUCACCUGAGGACUUUAAGGUGCCGAUGUUCUUAUGUUUCUCGUCGGCUAAGAGUUUUUCUUUCAUCAUCUCCUCAGAGAGCUGGAUUUGAGCGGCUCUAUCGGCAAGGCGUCGAGUAGCUCUCUGGUACUGUAGCUGGCGGCUUUCUAGGUAUGCAGCAUGGAAGAGCGUUUCUUCAGCAUCGGCAGGAAUUUGGCCUCUAAGGGUUUUGAACAAGGCCUUGGAUGGGUCAGAAUCGUUGACCAGCUGAGCAGUGUCUUGAUGAAGUAUGGCCGAUAGCUCCUCCAGCUUAGCCCUGGUUUCUACCGAUACAGUCCCAAUUGCCCGAGAGGAGCUUGCUUCCUCACCUUCUUCUUCGAAGAUAUCAAUGGCGAAGGAGAAUAAGCUAUCGAGAGAAUCUUGUUCCUGAAAAUGAGAAUGAAAUAAGUCAUUUUUAUGGUCAAAGCUUCGGCAGACGAUGCUGGUGGAAAAGUUGGAUGACUUACUUGUUUCAGGGCAAUUUCUUGCCUUUGACUCAAAGAUACUGAUGGAACUACAGGUUGAUCGGCAGAUGUUGCCGAUGGAACGAUAUCGCCUGAAAGAAGACAGGAAGGGUUAUGAGACUAAAUGAGAAUAAGUUUAUCGGCGGAAGUAUUGUUGAGAUAUGUUACCCGGAGGAGGAACAACAGUUGUCCGAAUCGGGGAAACCGCCAAUGAUAUAACUGGACCUGCCGGGCCAGUUGUUUGUCCACCUACGUCAGCUGAUGUACCUUCCGUUUGAGGUUCUUCCUGCUGGGGUUCUUCCAUCUGUGGUGCUUCCUGUAUUGGUUGGGGAGAUGGUGCUUGCAGUGUCUGGACUUCUGGAGAAGAAGGGGAAGAUUCCACCGGAAUUGGAGACACCGGAGGAGGAGGAGUUGCCACUUUCUGGCGCUUUGUUCCAGCCUUAGCACCUUGGGUGCCCUUCCUCUUUGGCUGGCUAGACUGGGGGGCAUCGGUACCUUGGCGUUUGGCUUUUGCCGAUGCACCAGUUUGCUGCAACAACAAAAAGGAGUUUAUGAGCAUAGAUAGCCGAUACAAAGAUAGUUAGCAUAAAUGAAAAGGGUUUGACAAAUUGCCCUGAAAGCUUGCGCCAGAGUGGAAGCAGCUACCGUUGGCGAUGUCUGAGUCUUCCUGGUGGUAACUUUCUUGAGGCGCGCACCCCGGUGCACGAUGGAAGCCAGAGUGGGAGCAUUAUGGCCGAUUGAGGAGAUCGGGCCUGAUGGGAACAAGUCGAUCGGCUUGCCACUCCUGCUAACCGAUGGGGGGGUGUUGUCAAUCUGCAAAAGGAAUACAGGGGUAAGUUACCGAUGGAAAUAGUAUUGGAAAAUGAGACAUCGGUUUAAAAUACUUACAGUGUCAUCAGGGACUUCGUAUUCGGGGUCGAUCAUGCCGCGGUAUGAGAGGGCCGAUCUGCAGAAUAGAUUCUCUUUCCAUUCUGCCCACCAUAGCUUGUAUGCCUGAGUGAUAAAGGCAGCUGGAACCCAUUCUGACAGAUCUACAUCUGUAUCGGCAUUUGGUGGUAGCUGGGCUACUCGAGUCCACUCGAGAAGGUUGGCGAUGGGUUCUCUGGGCUUUAUUACAUCGGCAUAAGGAAGUGCAAUCGGCAAUUGGCCGAAAGCUACUGAUAAGGUUGAAGAUAUUCAGUAGGAUGAAUCGCAGAUGAACAGGAAUGCGAGAAAAAGUACAGGAGAUGAGAUGGAAGUCUGACCUCAGGGACGACGAAGCCAAUGGCCAUCUUGUCGUGAAGAGGACGUUGGAGGGCACCGGAGUUGAUGAAGAGGAGUGCUUGUCGGAGAUCUUGAGGGUUGUGAAUGGCGCCGCCGCUGGAAAAGCAAAGUUGGAUAGUAGAAUGGUGUAAUGGGGGAGGAGUACCCAAGAAGGAACUAUUUAUAGGACAAGAUGGGCAAGGGCAAAUCCGACUUAUUUCUUUGCCGCAUCCGAGAAGCCCAAGGGUACUCAAGUGGAUAUGGUAACUGUUCGCACGGUAAUCCAGGGAUUGUGCAGGUGAUUUGACAGGAAGCGGUCAUUAUCUAAAGAUAUUUUACUGUGCGAGAUCUCCUGGUCGGUCCAUCGGCGAUAUUCUAUAACGGUCAUCUUGCCGAUGGGCGGAUAGAGGGGAGGUAACCGUUUUUGCGAAUAUCCUGGUCAGAGCAUCGGCAGGUCUUUGUAACGGUAUUGUUGCCGAUGUACGACCAAGAAAGAUGCCCGUUUAGGAAGUUGGGGAUUUCGAGGAAUCUGCGGAGGAUUAGGAUCAGAGUUGUCCAGAUUGAGGUUGUCGGUUACCAGAUUAGGAGCAUUAAUUGCGGAGAAGGCAUCAUUACUGCAGAGAAUUUCGGAGCAUUAAUAGUUUUAUACUCCGAAACUGGGGGGCAUGUGUUGACACCAUUUUUGAGCACGUGUCCAGGAUGGCAGGAUAGGGCGGCAGUACGAUGCGGGUUGCUGAUGAGGAUGGUUGCCGAUGAGGGAGAGGUUGAAUGUGACUAAGUCCACAGGCAGUAAUAUGGUGCCGAUGACUGGAUAAAAAGGUCUGCCGAUGAUUAUGGCAAGGGGAUUGCCGAUGACGCGAAGGAGGAGUCCGGAAGCUGCCAGUUGUCAUGUGGAGGAGUUUCGGUUUGUCACGAAGGAUAGUUUUAUUAUUUCCUUAGUUAUUUGCAUCGUUUUGUAUACGGAUUCCGUGUAAUUUGGAAUUCGAAUUCUAAUCGUGUCUGGUCGUAGCUCUUUGAGCAGGGUAUAAAUAUAAACCCUAGGACCUUGUAAUCAAAGAAAAAAAAGAAAUCAAUCAAACACACGUUUUUACUCAUAUUCCAGCAUCUACUUUUCGACGACUUCGUCAUACUUUUUUUUCCAUUUAUUACGAGUUCUUAGGAAUUCGUCGACUUAAGCUCGGCGUGUUCUCGAGUUCCGCGUGAGUACCUCUUAGCCGUGACAUCCGGGCGCAUCGCUGUUGUCAGGACUAAAGUAUUCGAGUUAUCACCUUUGCCGAUAGCAAGGUCAAAUCGGCUGGCACGCCUUAACGUUUGAAUCGGGUAUUAGCCCUUUGUGUUUGCAGAUCAGUUUUGCAUCAACAUUUACUUUCCUUAAAUUGCUUGUUAGUUAAUCAUGCUAUCUUGAAAAAAAUAAAAAAUGUUAAAAAUAGUAAGCCCUAUGUGAGUAUGCUCGUGGCAUAAAACCCAUAAGUACAUUCACUGUGGUGGUGUAAAAAUAAAAUAAAUAUAUUCCUGUCCUAUAAAAAUGAAAGUAUAAAAAUAAAUUUAUGAUCCUACCAAAGAGAGUAACAUUUAUUAAGGAGGCUCAACAUGAUAAAGGCUAGAUAUUUAUGCUAACACUUAACUAGUUCCACAAAGCUUUGUUGUCUACUUGAGCUCCACAGAAUUCAAGGAUCAAAGAAGACUAGCAGACGGAGGACAUCCUAAUCGCUGUGAGGGUGCUGCCGACAUUCAAAUACACCUCCAUCACCUGCUAGCUACAGCAGAAGAAAUUAUGUCAAAAUCCAGCUUGGGGGAUAGCACCCCCAUUUAUCCAGCUAAGUGUUUCUACUCGCAUUUAUACUUUACUCAAAUAAUAAAAAGAUGGAUAAUCAUAAAAACCCAAAUAAAGAUUUUAUGCUUAUAUAUAUCUAUGCUUAGUUUGCUAAAUAAAUAAAUAAAUAAAUAAAGUUUGCUAUGAACCCUCAUGAUAAGCUCUCACAUAGGAAUGAUGAAUAGUUGCUCUGCCACGACUAGUUCUCAAAAUUGAAAUCUCUCUCAAGUUUAGGCAUGACUGUUAUGAAUUAAGAUUUGCUCUAAACCUGAACUUGUGGGAAGAGUAUUUGAUCUAAAGUCUAAGUCGUUAACGGAUAUGAUAUGGGAAGGUUGAGCUGCUGUUUAUCUGUUUCUAGAGAUGCUAGAAUUCUGAAGAAUUUUAUCUUUGAAAAUCUUUAAAAUAUUGCAUGAUGAGUUCCUGUAUGAUGAGAGUUUAAAAUCCUACCAUAGCCACAUAUACAUGCUUAUGAGACUAUGAACCAUACAUUUACUUUUUACUGCUUAUGAGCAUUGAGUGUGGUCAAGCUAUGUAGACCCUUAGGAGCUUGUCAUGUGGUUAUAAUCAAGAUUCACUUGCACGUCCACUCAUACAUGCUGCUUCUACUCCGGAAGUAUGCAUCCACAUACAUCCACUCAUUUCCAUCUCCACAUUCACCCAAAAUUAUUCUACUCCUAUCCGAGAGAGAAUAGCCAAAAACAUUAUCCCAUUCCUGUUUUUCCCUGUGAAAUAAAUGCUCGAGCUAUUUUGGUUACUACCACUUGCUACAUUAUUCUAGGAGGGUGAGUGCUCUGAAAAAAAGAAAAAAUACAAGGAAAUAAAAAGGGGCAAGUGCCCAGAACCUCAAGAAAAUAAAAAGUGAGACGAGAGGUAAAAAUGGACAAGUGUCCGACAGUAGAAUUAGGGGUACAAGAUACCCACCUGAGAGAAAAGAAAAAGAAAAUAUAGAGCAUCUCAUUCCACUCAAAAAGCUUCAAAGUGCAAGAAAGGUAUGUAUCCCCUCAAAAGAGCAAAAGUAGAAUUAGACUUUCACCAAUGUUUUCACCAUCAUCACCAUACACCAUUCAUUCGCCACACAUGCACAUCUUGAUUUGACUUAUUGACUCGUUUCUCUGGAUCCAUGGUUUGACUAUGCAAUAAAUGUCUUGUAAGUAUGUAUUAGCUGUCUCCCACCUAUGAGCUCCAAAUAUCAAACCUUAUUAGAGUAGGGUGAGAGAGAAGGCAAUAUCACUAUGCCUCAUACCAUAAAUACUACAUACUUUGAGAGAAGGCGUAUAUUAUCAUUGCCUUGGUAAGGAUCCAGAAAUACCACAAAAGAGAGACUAGAGAGAGUCAUACAAGGAAUCUCUGAGUUUUAUUUAAAAAUCUGCAAAAAAAAACUCCAGAGCUAUAGUUGAUCAAAGAACAAGAGACAUGGUGCUUGACUUGAUCCUCUAUCUUUUAACUGCUCAAGACACAAGUGACUGUUGCAAGCCCCAUGGUGGAAGGUAAUAUGAGUAAGUUCAAAUCUUAACAGUUUACCUUAACCUAGAGAUGAGAUCUUGUUUGAACGCAUGAGUACCUUUAAGGCAUAAAACCACUGCAAAAACUCUUGAGUCCAUCCUUGCUCAGGGACGAGCAAGAGGUAAGCUUGGGGGAGUUGUUGACGGUCCUUAAGUACCAAAUAUAAUCAGCAAAUAAACAAAGAAAAAGAUCCAAAUACAACCAACAUCUAAACUUAGGGUUUUAUCUCACAGAAUUCCAUGAGUUUUGGUGUUUGUCUAUUUCUGCAGGGGGUUAUCAGGAAAUAUGGAGAGAAGGCCCACAUGUCGGGUUUACAUAGAGAUAUUAACAUGCCGUGCAAUUUUCUAUCAUCUAGAAUACUCCAGAAGCCACGGGAACAAAGCGGAAGCUGAGAGGGCUCAGGGACAGGGCGCCCGCCCAAGUCCUUAGGGCGGCCGCCCACCUAUUUCAGCCAAUCACGCUCAAUCUCGUGGAUUAUGCUCCACCGACCUAAAGGAUCAAGAAUAACCGUUCAAUCAAUGUCGGUUUGAUCCGACGACCCAGGUUCACUUGAGGGGAUUAUAUAACCAGACCCCCUGGCCCCUGGAUGAGGCACCCCUUGAUCAUUAUUCAUUAUUCAUAGAUAGAGCAAAAGCUAGGGCUUAGAGAUGAGAGCUCUCCUCUCUUCUCUAAACUAGAGUAGAUCUAGAUAGUAGCGAGAUGGAGAGUGAAGGAGGAUUAGAGGAGAGGCUGGCAUGUCGGUUCUUCCUCCGGUUGUACUUUGUCAUGAUCAAGCUCUAAUCAAGCUUGCUCAUGGGAUGACUCUGGUAAUCUACUUCUAAUUCAUUAUGCAAUUACUAAUCAUGUAUGUUCUGGUUCACAACUCUUUUGAGUACUUCUAUUCUAUAGGACCCUAUAGGUUAGAGUUGUAGUAUAGGUGUAAGCGUGGUGCUUAGACCUAGAUUACUUGUGGAUAUCCCCUGCCUAGCCAGAUCGUGUGGUAGGCCGCGUAUGUGACAGCUAUGUUGGUCCUCUGUAGUCCACCUCUCGUUAGCAGGACGGGUAGGGUUUAUCGGCCUAAGGAUAAGCAUCCUUUGUGGUGUACUCUUAUCACGUGGUUUGUCCUAGACAUAGACAUACCCCUUUGAAGUAGAGAAACCAUAGUUAUCCUCUCUAUUCUGCUACGAUCGCCCAUAUACUAGAAUUGCUCUAUUCUCUAUUCCCAUAUUAUCACUCACUGUUAUCUUACCUUUAAUAUUAUUCUUAUUUGAUUCUACCAUCUUUCCUAUUUACUCAUCUUGGUUAAGUUAGAGCGUAGAUCAGUUCUCCCGUUUCCCUGUGGAUACGAUAAAACCUUUAACCAGGUAAAAGCUUCAACGGUAUCCAUGCGCUUGCGGAUUAUCUGUGUGCGUAUAAAUACCUUAGUACACUCUAGUGCCAUGCUGGGAUGACAACCUAGUAUUCAAGUGGUGUUAGCAAGUGUCAACAGAGGCUAAAAGUUUAAUGGGAGAAAUCCAUGAAGGAGUAUGUGGAGCACAUCAGUCGGCUUUUAAGAUGAAGUGGAUGAUUAGGAGGAAUGGGUAUUAUUGGCCAACCAUACUUGAAGAUUGCUUUAAAUAUUUCAAGGGGUGUCAAGGAUGUCAGAAGUUUGGCAAUAUUCAAAGGGCACCCGCAUCGGCCAUGAAUCCCAUUAUUAAACCUUGGCCGUUCUGGGGAUGGGCUAUUGAUCUAAUCGGCCAAAUUUACCCACCAUCAAGCAAAGGACAUAAAUUCAUCUUGGUUGCCACCGAUUAUUUCACCAAGUGGGUUGAAGCUAUUCCUUUGAAGAAAGUCACAUCGGCCAAUAUGAUUGAUUUUGUGAAAGAACAUAUUAUUUACUGAUUUGGAAUUCCUCAAACAAUUACUACCGAUUAGGGUACGAUGUUUACAUCAGGGGAGUUUGAUGAGUUUGCAAUUGGUAUGGGAAUUAAAGUAUUAAAUUCUUCUCCUUAUUAUGCUCAAGCUAAUGGGCAGGCCGAAGCAUCUAACAAAGGAAUUAUCAGACUUAUUAAACGGAAGAUUGAAGAAAAUCCUAGGAGGUGGCAUACGUUGUUAAAUGAAGCUUUGUGGUCAUAUCGGAUGACUUGUCAUGGGUCGACCAAAGUUUCACCUUAUCAAUUGGUGUACGGGCAUGAUGCAGUGCUACCCUAGGAAAUUAAAACUGGAUCUAGGCGGCUAUCUUUUCAAGACCAAUUAACUGCCGAUGACUAUGCUACUUUGAUAAAAGAUGAGUUGGAUGAUUUAGCAGGGCAUCGGCUAAGGACUUUGAUAAGUAUAGAAGAAAAUAAGAAAAGAGUUGCCAGAUGGUAUGAUAAGAAAGUAAAGGCUAAGGAGUUUGCCGAUGGAGACUUAGUAUGGAAACUAAUCUUACCAAUCGGGACUAAAAGUUCAAAAUUUGGGAAGUGGUCUCCCAAUUGGGAGGGUCCUUAUCGGAUAAAUCGAUCUGCUCCUGGCAAUGCUUAUAUUUUAGAAACUCUCGAAGGAGUUGAAUUUCCCAAGGCAUUGAAUGGAAAAUAUUUAAAGAGAUAUUAUCCCAGCAUAUGGCUUGAUGCAUGAAAGUUCAAGUGCCGAUAACAUUCCUAUCGGCUGGAUUAAAGUGUAUCUGGGGCCGGACCUAAUGUUUUAAAAGGAUGCCGAUAACAGUCCUAUCGGCUAAACCAAAAUGAUCAGAAGUGAUUUAAAAGAAAGAAGCAAAAUAUGUCGCCGAUGAAGAGUUCACAUGUUUAACAGAGCCUGGAUCGUUGAUAUGGCGCGUAGACGGAUCUGAUAGGCUUCCUCUAUCUCCUUCAUGUCUUCAUCGACAGAGCCCUCCACUAGCCUCAGUUUCUUUUUCAUCUGUAGUGCCUUGCGAGCCUGGAUGUUUCGCUCCACUUCAAGAGUUUUGGUUGCUUCAGGCAGCUGGCUUUCUUCCUGUUGAGUUUGGGAUAGAGCUUCUUCUACCUGUUUGAGUUCUGCCAAUAGGGCUUCUCUCUUUGCCGAUAGAUCAGAGAUCUUUUGCUUCAGCACGUCUCCUGAGGAUUUCAAGAUGCCGAAGCUCUUGUGCUUUUCAUCGGCAAGGAGCUUUACUUUCAUCAUCUCUUCUGAGAGCUGGGCGUGAUUAGUUCUAUCGGCAAGGUGCUGAGCGGCCUUUUGAUACUGAAGCUGCCGACUCUCUAAGUGAGCAGCCUUGAAGAGGAUCUCCUCGGCAUCGACAGGAAUUUGGCCUCUAAGAGCCUUGAACAGGACCUUGGAUGGAUCAGAGUCAUCAACCAAUUGGGCUGUAUCUUGAUGAAGGAGGGCUGACAAAUCUUCCAACUUUGCUCUAAUCUGUGCCGAUGAGAUUCAAACCGCUCGAGAAGAACUUGCUUCCUCGCCUUCAUCCUCAGAGAUGUCGAUGGCAAAGGAGAACAAGCUGUCAGGAGAGUCCUGUUCCUGAAAAGGAAGACAAAAUAAGUUAUUCUAUGAUCAAGUACUGAUAACAAUAAAAAUAGAAAUUGGGUAACUUACAUAUUUCAGGGCUAUUUCUUGCCUCUGACUAGAUGAGGCCGAUGGAACCACAGGCUGGUCGGCUGGAGUUUCCGAUGAAACUAUGUCAGCUGAAAGAUUCACAGAAGUGAUUAAUAAAGUGGGAAAAUAGGUUCAUUGGCAAUAAAUGGAAAGUAUGUUACCUUGAGGGGGUGCAGUACUUGUCUGAAUCGAGGAGACUACCGAUGCUAUGAUUAGGCUUGCUGGAUCGGCGGUCUGCUCGUGUACAUCAGCCGAUGUUUCUUCUGGCUGAGCUUCCUCUGGUUGGAGUUCUUCCACUUGGGGUUCUUCUUGUGGCUGAGGAGGAGAUGGUACCUGCUGUGUCUGGGCUUCUGGAGAAGAAGGGGAUGAUUCUACUGGGAUCGGAGACCUUGGGAGAGGAGGAGGCGUUGCUGUUCUCUGGCGCUUCGCUUGUAAUCUGGUACUCUUGGAACCUUUUCUCUUCGGUUGACUGGACUGGGGGGCAUCGGCAGUUGUACUUCUGGUCUUUGCCGAUGUACCAGUGUGCUCAUACAACAAUGAGAAGUUUAUGAGUACAAGUGUAAUAGGUAUAAGAAUGGAAUCGGUAUGAGUAAAAGAAUUCGAAAAUAUACCUUGAAGGCUUGUGCUAAGGUAGAGGCAGCUACUGAUGGGGAUGUCUUCGUUCGCUUGGUGGUAACUUUCUUGAGACGCAUACCCCGAUGCAUUAUAGCAGCCAAGGUUGGAGCGUUGUUGCCGAUCAAAGAGAUCGGGCCCGAUGGAAGGAGCUCAAUUGGCUUACCACUCCUGCUCACCAAUGGUGGUGUGUCAUCAACCUGUAUAUAACAAGGAAAGUAAGUUACUGAUGGAAAGUGAAAGUGAAUGGAUUGAAGCAUCGGUUUAAAGUACUUACAGUAUUAUCAGGGACUUUGUACUUGGGGUCGAUCAUGCCACGGUAUGUGAGAGCCGAUCUGCAGAACAGGUGUUCUUUCCAUUCUUCCCACCACUGUUUGUAUGCCUGAGUGAUGAAGAGAGCCGGGAUCCAAGCUGAUAGAUCGACAUCUGUAUCAGCGUUUGGUGGAAGUUGGGAUACCUUGAUCCAUUCCAGAUUGUUGGUGAUGAUCUCCCUCGGCUUUAUCACAUCGGCGUAGCAGAGUGCAAUCGGCAGUUGGCCGAAAGCCAGUUCGCGAGCUAGUGCCGAUGGGUUAUAAAACUCAUAGGUUAGAUUGGAGGCUUUCCCACUACCAAAGAAGUUCACUGGUAUGGCUCUUGGGGUGAUAAUUGCCAUCAUCACAUCAAGGUCCUUGUUGAGAGCAUCGUUGAAGGGGUGGAAAGUCAAGCGAAAUCUGGUAUCUGGGUCUUCAUAAGGCAUCCAUGCCCGUUGUUCUCUGGUCAGGCCCUCAUACAGAGUUUGGAAGAAUCGGCUAACCUGGUCUGCGUUACCACCUGUGCCAGGCAAAACUAUGGCAGCUUUGAUAAAGUUUAGAGGGGAACGAGUUGCCGAUUCUUCUUCAUCCAGUUUAUAAUCCUCGGCUAUAUCCCUGGGGAUGCGCUGUGCAAAGAGGUCGAACUCAAGGCGCUUGUGCAUGUGGAGACUAAGCCACAUAUUGAUGAACCACCAGGGACCCCCUAAGUUGCCGAUGGGCUGACCAAGCAGUAGUUUCUUGGCUACCUUGUGGAGGAGGUGAUAAGCAGAGCCAAGUAGGUAUCGGCCGAGAGGAAAUCGGCCCCCAUUGGUUAAUCUUUCUGCUGCCGACAAGUAAACAGAAGUUGGUCCUGCCGAUCGGCCAUAGAAUACAAAUUUAUCUAGCCACAUGUUCAGAAAAGUGGUCUGUUCCUUCGCAUUGACAGGACCUGUUCUUCGGUACUUCUGAACGUACCCUGACCAACCGCCGAUAGCACGAGUUUCCACCUUAGCACUGGGUUUGGUGUCGAACAGGUGGGUGUUAUCGGUAGUGGAUAUAUCUAAGCCGGUGAGGAUAAGUUCGUCGGCAAGUGUAGGAGAAGCAGGGCCAUGGCCAAACACAAAAGCAUUGAGUGUGUCUGACCAAAAGUAUGAGGCAGCUAUCAGUAGUGACUCAUUUCUCUCCAUAUCGGCAAGAGACAAUCUAGUGAACUGAUCUAAUUUCGUUCACUCCAUUGGACCUCAUUUGAGUUACUGACUCUCAGGAACCAAUCCUUCCAUCCCUUGGUAGGACUGGGCCAGGAACGGAAGGCAUCUUUCCAUAUAUCUAGAGAAAAAUUCUCGGCGCUAAAGGGGAUUCUGUUUGUCUUUGCGUUUAUAAGAUCAGUGGGAUCUAAGUUUCCUAGUGGACCAAGGCAUUGGAGAUGGGGUUGAUCGGUAGGGAUUGCGAUCUUGUCGGCCAAAUUCUAAAGAUUUUAAGGAUAAAAGAAAAAGCAAAAAGGAAAAAGGGAAUAUUCAGUAAAAGGAAUUGCGGAUGGACAGAAGUACAGCAAGAGUACGAAAAAAGAAGGGGGGUAAGCUAACCUCAGGGACGACGAAGUUGACGGCCAUUGCUCCGCGAGGAAGAAGAUCGAAAACUUGGGGGUUGUUGGAGGAAGCUCUUGCUGGAGUUCUUGGAGUUCUCGAACAGUGCUGCUGUUGGGUAUUCUUAACAUCAUUACCAAAAGUAGACUAAGUUCUCUAAAUCUAGUAAUGGUGCCAAAAAUGCCAAACCUAUCCCUCACACCACUUAAGCCAAGUUGUCAUCCCCAGCAUGAUAUAAGAGACGCGGUAUUGAAAUAUGCAAUUGCUCUUCUAAAUAAAUAAUGAAUGGGAUCUGCAAGCGCACAGAUUAAUACCGAUGCAGCAUUUUAACCGGGAAGUAUUCCAGGUAUCGUUAUUUAUAUUUUUACCACUGGGAAGGAAUUAGCAAUCAACAAUAUCGAUUACAGAAUAGAAUAUGAGAUUGAGCAUCUAUCAUUGCAUGUAUAAUUGAGAACAUUAUAUCUAACUCUUCAUACAGGGAUAAGUGUCACAUAAAAGAUAUAUGAAAUAAUAAUAGUGACAAGGAUAACUAAUCUGAUCUAGCCACAUAAUAAAUAUGAUAAGCACCUCAAUUAGAUACUCUAGAAAGUCAUUAGCAUGGUAUUAGAACGAACUACAAGAAUAUUCCCUAAGUUAUUCUCAACUAUAUAGUCUAGCAUAUCAUAGUUAGUGCAAGCAUACUUAGCAAUCAUUGCGAGACAAGACUACGCCCAUGCAUAGUGAUAUUAGCAAGGAAUAUGAGAAACAUAGCAAUCACUCCCCUGUAAUAAUGUUGCUCUGCCAGCCCAAUACACGAGAGGGGGACUAUAUAAGAAUCAAUGAAGCUAUCACUAUCACGAACCACCCCACGAUCUGGCAUAUUGGGUACAAUCGCAGAUAAAUACGGUAUAAGCACCACGCCUACACAAUAUCUAUCAUUUACCCAUGGAUCCGAUGGAUAAACGCUAUACGAUCCUAAGCAUGUAUAUAGAUCCAAUCUAACUAAGCCAAGUACAUAACUAUGAUAAACUAAGAACAAUAUAAUCUUGAAUAUAAGCUAGUAGAGCAAAGUCAUAAGCAAUAUAUUGAAAUAGAACAAAGUCAUAUUCAUAAUAUUGAAGAACAAAGAUAAUUAGAAAGCAAUUAGAAGCACAAUUAGAGAAUUACCAAGAAUCCUCCUGACAGAUCCGGAAACCAAUCGAAGAUUGACUCCUUCUAGUUCUAAUCCUAUGUAGCUAUGCUACUCUAGAUAUCUAAUUGAUGUGGUGGCUCUAAUCUUGAUCAGAGGCUUCUUCUCCCUUGAAGAACAAUGAAUUAGGGUUGAGAGGCUCUCCCCUCCAGGGGCCAGGGGGUCUGGUUUUAUAGUCCCUUCAAGUGAAUAUGGGACGUUGGAUCUAACCGACAUAGAUUGUAUGGUUUAGAUUCAUCCUUUAGGUCGGUGGAAAUCUCCUGCAAAGCAGAGUCCUGAUUGGACUCAGAGGCAGGGCGGGUGCCCUGACCAACUGGGCGGGCGCCCAGGGUCUGGCCCCGUUUCGCCUCCUCUUCGGUCUCGUGGCUUCUGGAGUCUUCUAGAUGUAAGAUAAUUGCGCGGCACGUUAAUAUCUUUACUUAAUCCCGACGUGCGGGCCUUUCUUCCGUAUUUCCUGAUAACUCCCUGCAGAAAUACACAAACACCAAAACUCGUGGAAUUUUGUCAGAUAAAACCCUAAGUCUAGAUGUUGAUUUCAUUUGGAUCCUUUUCUUUAUUUAUUUGAUAAUUAAAUUUGAUACUUAAGGACCGUCAACAGCUGCCGCCAGGAAAGCAGAGUUUGGGCUGUAGAAUGAUAAGAUGGAGAAGGAGUACCCGAGAAGGAAGUAUUUAUAGGACAAAAUGGACAGGGGCAAAUUUGACUUAUCUCUUUACCGCAUCUGUGAAAUCCGAGGGUGUUCAGGUAGAUAUGGUAACUGUUUGCGCGGUAAUCAAGGGAUUGUACAGGUGAUUUGAUAGCAAGCGCUCACGAUUUUGGAGAUAUUUCACUGUACGGGAUCUCUUGGUCGGUCCAUCGGCAGUUCCCUCUAACGGUAAUAUUGCCGAUGGGCGCAUAAAGUGGAGAGAUCCGGUUUGGAAGGUUGAGGAAUUCGAGGAAUCUGCAGGAGAAUCGGGCCAAGGUUGUUCAGAUUUAAUGGUCGGUUACCAAAUUGGGAGAAUUAAUUACGGAAAGGCAUCAUUACUAUAGAGAAUUUUGGAGCAUUAAUGAUUUUAUACUCUGAAGUUGGGGGGCAUGUGUUGACACCGUUUUUGGACCACGUACCUAGGGACCAGUAAAGUAUAGAUCGUCAGGUGGAGCAACGGUAACUAGUCUGCAGAAGAGUUGUCGAUGGGGAUAGUUGCUGAUGAAGAGACGAUUGAAUGUGACUAAGUCCAGAGGUGGUGACGUGUUCUUACCGAUGAUCAAUAUCAGUGUUUGGCGAUGGCCAUAACAGGAAGUCUGCCGAUGACUCUGAAGGAAAGUGUGAAGAUUGCCGAUUGAUCUGUGGCGGUGUCCUGGUCGGUUGCAAGGGGGUAGUUUUAUAUUUUCCUUAGUUAUUUAAUACAUAUUCUGUUUAAUUUGGAAUUCGAGUCCUAGUCGUGUCUGAUUGUAGCUCUUUGAGCAGGAUAUAAAUGUAGACCCUAGAGCCUUGUAAUGAGAAUCUAUCAAUCAAUCAAACACAAGUUUUUACUCAUAUUCUAGCAUCUACUUUUUCGACGACUUCGUCAUAUUUUUCCUUUUUACUACGAGUUCUUAGGAAUUCGUCGACUUAAUCUCGGCGUAUUCUCGAGUUCCGCGUGAAUACCUCUUGGCUGUAACAUCCGGGCGCAUCGCUGUUGUCGGGACUAAAGUAUUCGAGUUAUCACCUUUGCCGAUAGUAAGGUCAAAUCGGCUGGCACGCCUUAACGUUUGAAUCGGGUAUUAGCCCAAAGUGUUUGCAGAUCCGCUUUUGCAUCAACAAAUAUACUACAAAUAUAUACUAAAAAAUACUACUACAAAUAAUAUACUAAAAAAAUAAUACUACAUAAUAAUACAAGAAUAAUAUUAAUAUAUUACAAAAAUAUACUAGCACAAUAUAAUUUAUAAUAACAGGUCAACACUACACUUAUACUAAUAUACUAAUUAACUAAUAUAUAUAUAUAUAUAAUAUACUAAAAACUAAUAUACAUUCAUUCUGCAGAUUAUAUAUAUAUUAUACUAAAAACUAAUAUACAUUCAUUCAUUCUACAGAUUAUAUAUAUAUUAUACUAAAAACUAAUAUACAUUCGUUCAUCAUUUUGCAGGUUAUAUAUAUAAACUGUUGGAGAUCGAUUUAGUAUACGUAGAGGAUGUAGACGAUGGCUGGCCGGAGUUCGAUCGGUGGAGAUGGUGGCGGCCGGCGGUGGAGACGGUGCGGCGGCGGCGGCGCUGGAGAUGGUGGCCACGGCAGCGGCGCUGGUGGCCGGAGUUGGCCGCGGCGGCGAUGGAGACGGCGACGCUGGAGAACGGCGAGGUCGCGCGCGGGCAGAUGAACGGGCGGCGGCGCUGGAGACGAUGAACUCGACGAAGACGAAGAUGAACUGCCCUUUAGCACCGGUUCCAGCCACGGACCGGUGCUAAAGGGUCCUAGGCAGGCUCAGGCGGGGUCCUGAAAAUUUUGAGGACCCUUUAGCACCGGUUCCCACUAUGGGCCGGUGCUAAAGGCCCUGUUUUUUACUUUAGGGUUUUUCAAUUGUUUAUCUAUACAGUUUAUAUUAUAAAUUGUAUAGUAAACUAAAUAUUUUGCAUAAUAUUUUUUAAACUUUGACAUAUAUUGUAAUUUUUUUAUUGUACACAUGAAAAUUUUUAACCUUAAAUAUCUUACUAUAUUUUUAUAAUUUGCAAUGAUUUUGUAAGAAAUGUUUAAUAUUUUGUUAAUGCAAAAAUAUAUUAUUCCAAUAAAUUUAAAAAACUAUAUCCAAUCAACUGGAAAUCUAUUUUCACACCAUAUUGACGUUAAACUUUUUAUUUUUGUUAUUUAUUACUCAGAAUGCUAGUAGGGUAUAGUUUUCAUCAAAUAAAAAAUCUGUUUAUAAUAUAAAAUAUAUAUCUUGAUGAACACUCCCUUUGACCGAACCCUAGAUUGUCCCAAAUGAAAAAGUCAUGAAUACAAAGUUUGUUACACUCAUCAAGUUCUACAGUUUGUCUAAUGGUCAACUUUUCUUUUAGAAAAGUUUGAACCACUGAAUUUUAAAUUUUCAGAGAAUUCAUAGCCACGCAGCGGUUUCGAAACCCUAGAUGGUCUCGAAUGGAAAAGUCUUGAAUACCAAUAUUGUUCCACUCAUCAAAAUCUACAUUUCAUUUAUAGACCAUUUUUGCAUUUGACAAAGUUUAGGGAAGGUGUAGUUGAAAAUCCACAAUUGACACAUAUAGUUUCAUAUAGUUUGUAUGAGAUUCAAGAAUUGGUGGGUAUUGUUAACUUAAACUUUCUCAAAUGGAAAAGUUGUGUAUAUAAAAAGUUUAGAGCUUGAUGAUAUCUAACAACUUGGUAUUCAAAAUUUUUUUAUUUUAAGUAAUUUAGUUUGUCAUUUGACCAAGUUUGACCAAAACCCAUCUUGGAUUUUAUAGAAAUGUGAUUAGGAUUGGCUCAAAAUUAUCCAAAUGGAAAAAUGGACAAAAUAUAAAAUGUAGAUCUUGAUGAUCUCUAACAACUUUGUAUUCAAAAUUGUUUCAUUUGAAGUCAUCAAAUGGGCCAUUUGAUCAAGUUUGACCAAAGUCAAAACAUUGGUUUUCAAAAAACACCCUUUGACUGAACCCUAGGUUGUCCCAAAUGGAAAAGUCAUGAAUACAAAGUUUGUUACACUCAUCAAGUUCUACAUUUUGUCUAAUGGUCAACUUUUCUUUUGGAAAAGUUUGAACCACUGAAUUUUAAAUUUUCAGAGAAUUCAUAGCCACGCAGCGGUUUCGGAACCCUAGAUGGUCUCCAAUGGAAAAGUCAUGAAUACAAAUAUUGUUCCACUCAUCAAAAUCUACAUUUCAUAUAUAGAUCAUUUUUGCAUUUGACAAAGUUUUGGGAAGGUGUAGUUGAAAAUCCACAAUUGACACAUAUAAUUUCAUAUAGUUUGUGUGAGAUUCAAGAAUUGGUGGGUAUUGUUAACUUAAACUUUAUCAAAUGGAAAAGUUGUGUAUAUAAAAAGUUUAGAUCUUGAUGAUAUCUAACAACUUGGUAUUCAAAAGUUUUUCAUUUUAAGUAAUUUAGUUUGUCAUUUAACCAAGUUUGACCAAAACCCGGCUUGGAUUUUAUAGAAAUGUGAUUAGGAUUGGCUCAAAAUUAUCCAAAUGGAAAAAUGGACAAAAUAUAAAAUGUAGAUCUUGAUGGUCUCUAACAAUUGGAAAAGUCAUGAAUACAAAGUCAUGAAUACAAUUUUUGUUACACACAUCAAAAUUCACAAUUCUCAAAUAUAGUUUCAUACAAAGUCAAGUCGACACAACAGUGAACUUCUUCUUGACGUAUGACCCUUGGUUAUGAUCCUGCCGUAACCAUGGAGUAUCCUCAUUGUUUAACAGAAUGCUUGGGUCUUUGUUGACUAUGAAGGGCGGAAUUCGAUCAUCCCUUUCGUAAUCACCUGACAUGUCUGACUUGUCCUCAAUUCCGACAAUGUUUCUUUUCCCAGAAAGGACAAUGUGGUGCUUUGGCUCAUUGAUGAUUGAGUGGUCAUCAUUUUUUCCUCUCUUUGGUUUCGUAAACAUAUCUUUGACAUAGAACACCUGACUCACGUCUGCAGCAAGGACGAAUGGUUCGUCUUUGAACCCACUAUUGUUAAGGUCCACGAUUGUCAUCCCAUACUCCUUGUCGACUGUUACCCCACCUCCGGUCAUCUCCACCCAUUGGCACCAGAACAAAGGAACUUUAAAAUUAGCUGAAUAGACUAGUUCCCAUAUGUCUUCUAUGCGUCCAUAAUAUGUUUGUCUGUUCCCAUUUGGAUCCAUGGCAUCCACGCGUACACCACUAUUUUGGUUGGUGCUCCUUUUAUCUUGGCCAACUGUGUAAAAUGUGUUACCAUUUAUCUCGUACCCUUUGUACGUGAGGACAUGCCAUGAUGGUUGCCUGGCCAACAAAUAAAGCUGCUCAUCAAUGUUUUCAUCACCUUGACAUUUUUUGUGCAACCAAUCAUCAAAAGUUUCCAUGUGCUGACGCAUUAUCCAAGCUUCAUUCUUCCCGGGCCACUUGGACCGUAGGAAAUCUUUGUGUACCUCAACAUAUGGUUCCACCAAUGAGGAGUUCUGGAGAACUGUGUAGUGUGUUUUAUUGAAGUAAUCGUCUCUCGUACCAAUAUAUGUUUUCUUCCCAAGUGUCCCCUUUCCGCUGAGUCUGCCCUCAUGUCGAGAUUCAGGAAUGCCAAUUGGGUCAAGGUCUAGAAUAAAGUCAACACAGAACUCUAUGACCUCCUCUGUUCCGUAGCCCUUGACAAUGCUUCCUUCUGGCCGGGAACGACUAUGGACAUAUUUCUUUAGGACACCCAUGAAUCUCUCGAAGGGGAACAUGUUGUGUAGGAACACAGGACCGAGAAUACGAAUCUCUUUGAUCAGAUGAACUAGGCGGUGUGUCAUGAUAUCGAAGAAGGAUGGAGGGAACACCAACUCAAAGCUGACGAGACAUUGAACGACAUCAUUCUGCAGAGUAGCUAGUUGCUCUGGAUUGAUUGCCUUCUGAGAAAUUGCAUUGAGGAAUGCACAUAGCUUUACGGUGGCUAGACAUACGUGUGGAGGUAAAAUUCCUCUUAAAACCACCGGCAGCAAUUGCGUCAUUAGAACGUGACAGUCAUGGGACUUCAAGUUCAGGAAUUUCUUCUCUGGCACAUUAAUUAUUCCCUUGAUAUUGGAGGAGAAUCCAGAUGGGACCUUGAUACUGCUAAGACAUUCAAACAUGUUUUCCUUCUCUUCUUUGCUCAGAGUGUAGCUAGCAGGGCUUAAGUAAUGACGUCUAUCAUCUGUCUUUUCUGGAUGCAGGUUGUCUCGUUCUUUCAUGCGCUACAAGUCUUGUCGUGCUUCAAGUGAAUCCUUAGACUUCCCGUAGACACCCAUGAAUCCGAGGAAGUUCACACAAAGAUUCUUUGUCAGAUGCAUCACGUCGAUCGCAUUGCGGACCUCUAGGACAUUCCAGUAAGGUAGCUCCCAAAAUAUGGAUUUCUUCUUCCACAUGGGUACGUGUCCCUUAGCAUCCUUGGGAAUAGGUUUGCUACCUCGUCCCUUUCCAAAUACCACUUUUAUAUCCUUGACCAUUUCGAGUACAUCAUCCCCGGUUCGAUUGAGAGGUUUGGUCCGGUGGUCUGCCUUGCCUUUAAAAUGCUUGCCUUUCUUUCGUACUGGGUGGUUCACAGGAAGAAACCAACGGUGGCCAAGGUACACGACCUUUCGACAUUUUUUUCAAAAAUACACAGUCAAGGUCUUCAUAACAAUGUGUGCAUGCAUUAUAUCCCUUGUUUGACUGGCCUGAAAGAUUACUCAGAGCUGCCCAAUCAUUGAUUGUUACAAACAGCAAUUCUCGCAGGUCAAAGUGCUCUUGUCUGUACUCAUUCCACACGUGAACUCCUGGUUUGCUCCAUAAAAGUUGAAGUUCCUCAACUAAUGGCCUUAGGUAAACAUCGAUGUCAUUGCCAGGUUGCUUUGGUCCUUGGAUAAGCACCGACAUCAUAAUAAACUUCCGCUUCAUGCAUAGCCAUGGAGGAAGGUUGUAGAUACAUAGAGUAACUGGCCAAGUGCUGUGACUACUGCUCUGCUCACCGAAAGGAUUCAUACCAUCUGUACUUAAGGCGAACCGCAACUUUCUAGCAUCAUCUGCAAAAUCAGGGAAUUCUCUGUCUAUCGCUCUCCACUGGGAUCCAUCGGCAGGGUGUCUCAGCAUAUUGUCUAUCUUACGGUCUUCUUUAUGCCACCGCAACAACUUUGCAUUGUCCUUAUUUCUGAACAGACAUUUUAAUCAUGGUAUUAUAGGAGCAUACCACAUAACCUUGGCAGGAAUUUUCUUCCUAUGACGUUCUUCACCCUCAACAUCGCCAGGAUCAUCUCGUCUAAUCUUAUACCGUGAUGCCUUACAUACUGGACAUGCAUCCAAAUUCUCGUAUUCCUCGUAGAGGAUGCAGUCAUUAGGACAUGCAUGUAUCUUCUGGAUUUAUAAUCCCAAAGGGUAGACAACCUAUUUUACUACAUACGUAGUGGUGGGCAAUUCGUUGCCUUUCGGAAGCAUCUUUCUUGUGAUCUUCAAUAAGUGCCCAAAUGCCUUGUUAGAUGUACCAUUCUUUGCCUUCCAUUGCAGCAAUUCCAGUAUGGUACCCAGCUUUUUUUGCCCCUCUUCAGCGGUGGGAUAUAGCGAUUUCCUGUGGUCCUCUAGCAUGCGCUCGAACUUGGCUUUCUCUUUAUCACUUUCACAUUCUCUUUGUGCAUCACAGAUGGCAUCACCAAAAGCAUCAUCGCCCCGAUCAUCUUCUGCCACUACCUCUUCUUCAUUAUCUCCCCCCAUUGCAACAUCAUUGAAGCCACCGUACUGAGCAAUAAUGUUGGCAUGGUCCAAUUCUUCUUCUUCUUCUUCUUAUUCUUCUUCUUCUUCUUCUUCACCUUCAUCCAUUAUAAUCCCGCUUUCUCCAUGUUUGGUCCAACAAAUAUAGUUUGGUACGAAACCAGACUUUAAUAAGUGCGAAUGAAGAUUUCUUGAGUUAGAAUAUUCCGUCAAAUUCUUGCACACGGCACAUGGACAGCACAUGAAACCAUCCCUCUUAUUUGUCUCGGCCACACUUAAGAAAUAGUGCACGCCAUUAAUGAACUCUUCGGAGCGCCGAUCGGCAUUAUACAUCCAAUUACGUGUUACUAUCUGCAUUAAAUAUAACAUAUAUAUUAUGAAAACCAUGCACACAUAUAGUUUCUCAUCUUAUUGCACAACAUGUCCAAGAUACAUAGUUGUUUUAUUCAGGAAAGCUUGGCUACAACAAAUACAAUCGCAACUAGCACUAAAAAACCAAAACUAAAAUGCACUUAAGCAACAUAAUUAGUUCGCAUCUGAUCCCAACUAUAAUAGAUAGAUCAUUCGCUUGAUCAACAUCAUUGAAUUCCUUUCGUCGGCUCACUGCCUCACCACCUUCAGCCUCAACCACCUGUGCAAAAGAUUUCUUAAUGUGUUCAAUGUAUUCUUCCUCCCAGUACCAACCUAUACAUCUGCCGGUACCGUCCCAUUGAAAUUAAAAGAGAGAACCAAAAGUUUAAUUAAUAUCAUUUAAAAAAAUAUGCACAUAUAUAAGCAAAUGUCUAGAAAUAACUCACAUUAUGAUCCUGACACUUGUGGAAUAUACGACCCUUGUUUACUCCCUCUUUCGACACUUUGUACUCCAUCACAAUCUUCUACCCACACUUGCCACAAGUAAUGAGAGGGAGUUCCGGCGGGUAUCGCUUUUGAACCCGUUGAGAGACCGAAGACCCGGUCACGGUUGCCAUCUACUAUCCAUACUCAAUUUUUAAACAAUUAUAAAUUCCACUACUAGUAAAUAUGUAUGAUUAAAGAAGAACCUAAUAAUAUCCUUUAUUUGUCUAGUUACUUCAACAAAUCUUCUAAAUUCUACAAUGGACAUUAUGUAGUAAUAAAAAUAAAUCAAGUGAUAUUAACAAACCAAUUAAUUUGAACUAUCCUACUUUCUAGGAUCAUAAAAGAUACUAUAAUUCAUUCUUGCAAACUACAUUAAUACUAGGUCAACCAUGAAAUAUGAUAUAUAUAUAUAUGGAUACUAAUUCAUGUGAAUGAUUCAAAAUAACAAAGUGGAUUUGAGCUAAAAAUAAUGGGAACAUCACAAGCCAAAAACAACAUGAUAAAGACAAGAAAGACAAAAGUUAGUCACCUCCAAACACGAAGAAACGAUGACGGAGUCGAAGAAGAUCAACGAUGGGCGUCGGAGAUGAAGAACAAAUGAAGAACAAGGAAGAAGAAGCUCCAAGAACAACAAUGGUGAAUGGUGCUCUCGGUUUCAAAUGGGCAGAGAGGAGGAGGGAUCCAGCCUAUAAACCGGACCUUUAGCACCAGUUCAGGGCAAAAACCGGUGCUAAAGGGUCACUCUUUAGCACCGGUUUGUGUUACAAACCGGUGCUAAAGGCUUUGCCAUGGCCCGUGGCGCUGGCCGGUCCUAAAGGGGACCCUUUAGCACCGGUUUGUAACACGAACCGAUGCUAAAGGGUCCCUGCCCCGUAGCCGUUGGGCAGGACCAUUUAGCAUCGGUUCGUGUUACAAACCGGUGCUAAAGGUGUCUUUAACCCCCGGCCGUAAAAAGGCUGAGAUUUUUGGCCAUUUUGGCAUCGACCAAUGCCUCAUACUGUAGUAGUGUAACUUCACUAUAGUGUAAUUCUCCGGCACCUCACCUAUGCCACGUCAUCGUCUGUUACUAUUCAUGAGGUGGGAAAAAAAGCAGCCCCUCGUCUUGGCAAAAAAAAGAGUAAAGUCCACCACCGGUCCGUAAACUUGUACUGUUAUGUUGUCCUGGUCCCUAAACUCGCAAAUUGACGGUUUAGGUCCUUAAACUUGUUCUGCUAUGUCAUCUCGGUUCCUAAACUUAGAAAUCACUCGUUUAAGUCCUCAAAAUUAUUCAAUUGUGUCAUCCUGGUCCCUCAACUUAGUUUUGAGUCUGAGUCAAAACAAACUAAAAACUCUAUAUAAAACAUAAUUCAAAACUUAUUCAUAAAACUUGAAUUAAGACAAACUUUAUACCAAAGUCAUAGCCGUCAACAUGAUCUAAAACUUUGUAGUUGAAAAGUUUUUUAUUUGAAGUCGUUUAGUGUCACAAAAUUUAAUUUUAAACUUUAAAUUUUAAAAUCUAUAAACUAACAAAAAAACAUUUUGGGACCCUAAAUGAUUUUUUUUUCAAAAAAUUUUCAACUAUAAAGUUGUAGAUCAUGUUGUUGGCUACAAUUUUGAUAUAAAGUUUAUCUUUAUUUGAGUUCAUACGAAAAAGUUAUGAGUUAUUUUCAAUAUAGAGUUUUUUGAUUCGCCUUGUUUUGAUUCAGAUGAGACUUAAAAACAAAUUUAGGGACCGAGAUGACACUGCUGAAUAAGUUUGAGGACCUGUAUGGGAGAUUUUUAAGUUUAGGGACAAGGAUGACACAGUCAAACAAGUUUAGGUGCCUAAAUGGUCAUUCUGCGAGUUUAGGGAUCUGGAUAACAUACCCAAACAAGUUUAGGGACCGGUGAUAGACUUUACUCAAAAAAAUACUACUCCAAUCUUGGACCAGAGAGAGAUGGUUGGAUGCCAGCCACAAGUCGCCAUGCCUAACAUUAGGCUCGCCACGUUCACUUUGAUAGUUGUUUGGUUAAGCACAUAGUUAUGACUCGCCAUAGCCACAAAAUCAUCUCGCCAUAGUUUUCUUCAACCAGAGUGCAGUGGGCGUUUUCGUGACUCCUCUGUCCCUCUACAGAGACCCAUCUCGAUCCCUCUGGCCUAGUCCCAUGGCUUCUCUCCCUCUCUCGUCGUCCUGCCGGCUAAGCACAGGUACUUUCUCCGUCCACACAGAUGGUGGCCGAGGCUGAGCAUGGGGCCGAUGAGCGUGCUGGUCUUCCAUGGCCGAGGUGUGAGUGCGACUCCUGCUUGAUUUGAGUGAAGCUUAUUGUUGGGUACCGUAAAUCGGGAUACCCUAACCAAAAGGAAAAAAAAGCAACAAAAAGGAACUUAGGUCCACAGGGACAAGUCUCGAGCCGUAACACAAAUAACCGCCACGCCCGAGCCCUGGCCUGGAGCGCAAUCACCGCCUCGCCCGAGCCCUGGCCUCGAGCGCAAUCACCGCCUCGCCCCAGCCCCGGCCUCGAGCGCAAUCACUGCUUCGCCCGAGCCCUGGCCUCGAGCGCAAUCUCUACAUCGCCCGAGCCAUGGCCUCGAGCGCAAUCACUACCUCGCCGAGCCCUGGCCUCGAGCACAAUCACGGCUUCGCCCGAGCCCUGGCCUCGAGCGCAAUCUCCGCCACGCCCGAGAUGUAGCCCUCCUACACUCGGCUAAGUACCAGCAGGCUCUCCGACGCUACCACGCUCGACAAAUCCUAGGCCGAUCCUUCAAGGUCGGCGACUUGGUGCUGAGGCUUAGACAGAGCAACAAAGGCCGCCACAAGCUCACUCCUCCUUGGGAAGGACCCUUUGUCAUCAUCGAAGUACUUGUUGGGUACUUUGAAUGCAAAUAGAAAAAUCUGCAAGCGCACGGAUACCGAUGUAGCUUUCACCCGGGAGUAUUCCAGAGUAUCGAUUUUCCACACGAAAAGUGAGUGUACUAAUUAAGAUUCAAGAUCGCCCAAGGAUAACUAUAUAAUUAUUUUUUGGUGGGAAGAGAGGAAGUUUCCUGAAUCCACAAGCGCACGGAUAUCGAUGCAGCUUUUACCCGGGAGUAUUCCAAAGUAUCGAUUUUCCACAGGGAGCGUUAGUGUACUAAUUAAGAUUGAAGAUCGCAUAAGAAUAACUAUAUAAUUAUUUUUUGGUGGGAAGAGAGGUAGUUUCCUGAGAGUUCUCUAGUUGAUCUAAGAAUCAAGAAUUACUUCAAAGAUUAUUUAUUUCAGGACAUCAGAACACUAACCACAGAAAGAGAUGAGAAGGGGGCUAGGAAGCUCUGACUACGGUCCUACAAACACCGAUCUGAACGAGGUGGAAUACGUCGACCGUUAGGGCUGUCACUACCCUAGGUUACCACAACAAUCCGUAGGAUUGGGUGCAAUUCUAGGUAAUUGCAAGACUAAACACCACUUCUAAUCUAUUAAUUACUACUCUAGCGUUGCAAAGACUAGAGCACUUGAUGCAAGAGGGAAUCCAAUAAAUAACUUGAAUGUAAAUAAAAGUAAUUAAAGAACUCAGGAAUUAUGAAUUGAAGAACUUGGAGAACGAUGAAGAACGAACCAGUUGCUGCAAAAGUACAAUGUUGAGGAAGAUCCGACAGAUCCGGCACCUCCUCCGCUCCCCUCUUCUCUCUCCCUAUUUUCUAGAUUACAACUAGAACUAGCUAGAACUAGAACUAGAUGAACUAGAACUAGAACUAGAUGAACUAGAGGGAUCCUCUCUAUUUGGAUGAAUAAUUGAAACCCUAGCUUUGAUUCUGUAGAAGAGAUACCCUCCAGGGGUUGGUGGGAGCGCCUUAUAUAGCCUUGGAAGAGUAGCCCCCAAGAAAUCUAGGAAGAGUAGCCCCCAAGGAAUUUCCACGUCAUCGAUCCACGUCACGUUAUUCUCCACCAUCCGAUCAAACCAACCUUAAUCGCAUGAUUUUCCUCGAUCCUUAGAGUCGGUGGGGCAUAAUCCCCGAAGUGGACCCUGAUUGGGCACCACAGGAGGGCGAGCGCCCUGGUCCCUAGGGCGGGCGCCCUAGGCUAGGCCCUGUUCUGCCUCUGCUUCGAUCCAAUCGCUUCUUAGGUCAAUCUCAUUACGGAAAAUUGUAGAAGGCCUUAAUAUCUCUUUGUAAACGUGACGUGUGGGCCUUUCCUCCAUAUUUCCUGAUAACCCCCUAUAGAAAUAGACAAACACCAAAACUCGUGGAAUUCUGUCAGAUGAAACCCUAAUUUUGGACGUUGGUUGCAUAUAGAUCCUUUUGCAUGAUUAGUUGACGGUUAAAUGUGAGCAUUAAGGACCGUCAAAAGUACUCCGACCCGGCACUUACAAGCUCACCAACGAGGAGGGAGAGGUCUACAACAACGUGUGGAACAUAGAGCAGCUACGUUGCUUCUACCCUUAGCUAUGUAAAGAGAACUUUUAUACCCAUCUUGAUAAAGUGAUAGAGUUGUGAACCAUACAAUUUUUCCUUUUGCCUUAAGAGUGAGCCUCAGCUCAGCCUACGCAGGGCCUGAGCCUCCCUCGGGGGCUACAUGGGGGGAACCCCCCUACUGUUGCAAACUUUUUCUUUCCUUAAGUUAGAGUUUUUCCAACCCAAGCCAUCGUUCCCAUUCUUAAGAAACUGAAAACAACAAACCAUCCCCCUAGACUUAAAGUCAGACGAGCCUAAAACUGUCCAUGCCCACGGGUUAAGACCUUUUCUACUCACCCUUUAAGACCGAGAGAUAAGUUUGUUUGGAUUUUAGGAAUGUCCAAUGGAGGGUCUAAAACAUUAAGAAACAGGAAAGGGACUUGGGCUCGAAAUGCUCCAACUAAAAGAUCAGACCCUUAGUAAAUCAUCUCACCUCGCGUUGCCGAGGCAAGAAUGUUUCCAAAGAGAAACAAGCACAGGACUUAGGAAAAACAUUCAUAAAAAACUCACAUAAAGAUCAUGUUUACGAAACAAGGCCUCACUGGCCAUCAAUGUUUACAAUAUAAACUAAUCUAUUACAAGGGCUCUAUGGCCCCGCCUUUUCUGGCUCUGACACGUUAAGGGGGGAGUGCAACUUUGGCGUCAAAGAAGGUAGCCAAGGCAUCUCUAGGGCCCUCCGCGGCAUCGGCAAGCUUCUGGACCUCCUUUCGGUCCUCGUCCUCAUCGUCGUCGACGACGUAGCCUUCGCUCACUACCGGCAGAUCGAUGCCGAGGUAGUGAGAGCUCACCAUGGCUAGGGCCUUCUUUACCCCAGUGUGGAGGGCGUCUCUCAGCCUCUCGCCAACCCGGGAGUACAUGGCCUUGACGCGCUUGCGCAAGGAGGAACCUGGCGGACCCACCUCGACUCCGAGCCCCUCACAUGCCGAGGCCACGAUUGCUUGCAGAGCGAGUGGUCGGUGGCCUCGACAUCAAGGGCCUUUCGUACAGUGUCGGCCACAGAAGCCGCCUCGGCUACAUUUCCCUCUAGCUCUAUGAUAAAAGGCAAGUGUAAGCGACAAGGCCUGGAUUUAUGUACGAACAACAAAGGAAGAAUCACAACUAUUACCUUUUACUUCUUUUGCGCUCGCCGCCGCAUGACUCUGCCACUAGGAGACCUGACCCCGAGCCUCGGCUAGCUCAUCCCUAGCUUGGUUCAGGGCCAGGUCCCUCUAGGUUAGCAGAGUCUCAACCCAGAUCACUUCGCCCUAGUAUCUUUUGGCGACGGUGCUCCGCUCUUGAGUCUCUUGGACGAGGUCGCUAACCCUCUUCUCUAGAGGGGCGACCUUCGCUCGAGCAUCCUAAACCUUAGUCUCGAGCUCAGAGCACCUCCACCGGAGGUUGGUGGCCACCUCGCACUCCUUAGUGAGCUCCCCCUCAGCCACUUCCCGAGCAGCCUUUUCCUCUCGCAUGGCCGCCCACACGUCCCGCUCUCAGCGGAGAAACUUUGACUUCUCGUGGGACGUGGCCAUAAGCACCUGCGAGGUAACAUCGCACGGGAAAUUAACAAGAAAGGCCAAAAGAAAAGGCAAAAUAUCCCAAAGGGAUUAGGCGCCCAUAUCUGGGCAAAAUUAUGAAGAUCUCGGCCCACGAGCUCGGCCGCUCGGUUGAUGGCCUGCACACUGGCACGACCGGUUUCCUCCAGGCUCUUCCAGAAGUAUGCCUCGGUGGGGUCGUCGUGCACAAACCUGGCCCUCCCCUCUGGGUCUUCAGGGUUAGGCCAAACCACCGGGGCUUCUCCCCAGGAUCCGGUGGCCUUCCUCUCCGCCCCUUAGGCCUCACCACGACCAGGUCUGGCUUCUGCGUGCACCCGAGGUCUAUGUCCCCUGCCGGAUUAAUGGCCCCGAGGGCCAAGACCGUCCCCUUGGGUUCCUGGGUCCUCGGGACCUCGUCCCUCACAGCUUGGGGCUCCGGCGUCUCUUUUAGGGCCCCUUGACUCACCUCCUCCUGGGGGCAUCCCUCCUCCACAUGGACUAAGGGAGGCUGCGACUUGGGCCUCGCUGACCCAGGGGUUGACAGCGCCCCCCUCUUGAUGACCUUAAGGGUGCCAGCCUCGCUGUUGCCGCCUUUUGCUUCCAGCUAGCAAAGAGGCAACAAAGGAAAGGUAAAUAAGAAGAAAGAGAAAAACAAAAAAGGAAAAAGUCCCUAGAAAGGCACUUACCUAGCUCGGGGCAUGGCCCCCUUCUGAGAGCUUAGCGCCCCUGGGACCCGGGGCAGCCGGGCGCGAACCCACGGUCGCUGCUGGAGUCGCGGUAGUACGCACGGUCGUCCCGACCUUCGAACCUUCCGCCACGGGCACCGCCAUGGGUUUCACCUCUGCCCUAUCCUCAGAAUGAAGCUCGAUUCGGGCCUCGGCCCGUGCUCCGAUCCCCCAUGGGGGUUCGAGCCUUUGGGCCCUCAGGUGCCUCAUGCGCCUCCCUCGACGUUUUCUUUUCUUCUAGGAGAUGCAGGGCAACCGGGCCCCCCAUGGGGGUUUUUCCCUGCCUUCUUCAACAAUAAUGAAGGGGGCACUGCCUGCACCCUGUUGAUAUUUGGUAACGCAAUCAGGAAAUGAUCCGCAAGCGCACGGAUAUCGGUGAGCAUUUCACCCGGGAGGUUAUCUAGAGUUAUCGUAUUUAUAUUUUUACCACUGGGAGAAAGGGUGCAUCUGACUAACCAAAUCUAUUGCUACUAUCCCUUUAGGCACAAAGAAUGUCUCUCGAUGUGAGUGAUAAAUAGAGAAGACUGCAACCGUAGUCUCCUUCUAACCUUGGUAAGGAUGAUCUACUGUUCUAAUGGGGAGGCUAACGGAAUCUAGACACCACAAAGGAUGUUCAACCCGCACCUAUAAACCCUAUCCUUCCUGCUAACGAGAUGUGAUCUGCAAAGGUAACUCGGAAUUGUCACGUUCCUCACUACUACCACGGUCCAGCUAGUUAGGGAAUAUCUAUGAGUACCCCAGCCUAAACACCACGUUUACGCCAGCAAUGAUUACUCUAAACUCUACGCAAAGAGAUUAAAGUAAACUCAUAAACCAUAAGAACAAUAAAACAAGAACUUACUAGAAUUUAGAAGUCGAAAUAUUGAAGAAUCCUAGGAGCAAGCUUCGGGUUAGGAGAACUUGAUCCCGCAGGUACAAGCUUGGAGUAGACACCGACAGGCCGGGCUUCCUCCAAUCUACAACUCCACUCUAUCUCUCUCAAUCUAGUAGAAACUAGAAGAUCUAUUUCUACUUUACAUUGGUUGCUAAGCCUAAAAAGAAAUAUUAAUUAGAGAAGAGGUUUUCCUUCGAAAGCACCCCUUAAUCUCUAUGAUAAUUUCUUGUCCUCCUCCAGGGGCCAGGGGCCUUGCUUAUAUAGUCCUCCUCCACUGUGCGUUUUUGGUUCAGCAGGCGAUGUGGUACUAAACUUUCCACCAUAUCUCAUUAAAAUGCACAUAGGCCUUAAUGGACCAAAAUCUGAUUUGGGCCCAAUUAAUCCCGCAGCUCUUUUAUGUGGAGUCCUUCUUUUAUUAAUAUCUCUUGAUUCCGAACUCCAAAUAUAUCAAAUAAUAUAUGCAUUUCGAUCAGCUCGACGAGAUCUUUGCAAUGGUGUACUCCAUUCUGUGAUUGGUGGAAACACCUGGGCGGGCGCCCUGCCCCCAGGCCCGUUCGGCCUCCCGUUCGUUCCCGUGGCUUCUGGAGUCUUCUAGAUGAUAGAAAAUUGCGCGGUGCGUUGAUAUCUCUAUGUAAUCCUGAUAUGUGGGCCUUUCUUCCUUAUUUCCUUAUAACCCCCUGCAGAAAUAGACAAACACCAAAACUCGUGGAAUUCUGUCAGAUAAAACCCUAAGUCUAGAUGUUGAUUUCAUUUGGAUCCUUUUCUUUGUUUAUUUGAUAAUUAAAUUUGAUACUUAAGGACCGUCAACAAGCUCCCCCAAACUUACCUCUUGCUCGUCCCUGAGCAAGGAUAGACUCAGCAAUGGAUUAGAAGUUGUUGCAAUAUCUUUAAAAAUUGACGGUACACAUGCUUUUUAAAUAAGAUCUCAUCUCUGAGUUAGAGUAAACUGUCAAGAACUAAAACUUACUUACUUUACCUUCACCAUGGGACUUGUAACCGUCACUUCUGUCUUGAGAGGUUAAAAGAUAGAACAGUCUAGCCAAGUGCCAUGUCUCCUAUUCUUGAUCAGCUAUAGCUCUGGGGUUUUGCAGAUUUUCAAAUAAAACUCAGAGAUUCCUUGUAUGCCUCUCUAAAUCUCUGUUUUGUGGUAUUUCUGGAUCCUUACCAAGGCAUUGAUGGUAUAUGCCUUCUCUCAAGAAAGGUGGUAUUUGUGGCAUAAGGCAUAGUGACAUUGCCUUCUCUCUCACCCUACUCUAAUAAGGCUUUAAUAUCUGGAGCUCAUAGGUGGGAGAUAAAGUAUACAUACUUACAAGACAUUUAUUGUAUAGUCAAACCAUGGAUCCAGAGAAGCAAAUCAAUAAGCCAAAUCAAGAUGUGCAUGUGUGGCGAAUGAAUGGUAUAUGGUGAUGAUGGUAAUAACAAUGGUGAAAGUCUAAUUCUACUUUUGCUCUUUUGAGGGGAUACAUACCUUCCUUGCUUUUUGAAACUUUAUGAGGAGAAUGAGAUGCUCUUCUUUUUCUUUCCUCUCAGGUGGGUAUCUUGUACCCCUAAUUCUACUGUCGAACACUUGUCCAUUUUUACCUCUCGUCUCACUUUUUCUUUCUUUCGAGGUUCCGGGCACUUGCCCCUUUUUAUUUCCUCGUUUACAUAUAUAUAUAUAUAUUUUUUCUUCUCUUUUCUUUUUUUUCAGAGCACUCAUCUCUUGAGAUAAUAUAGCAAGUGGUAGCAACCAAAAUAUUUGGAGCAUUUAUUUCACAGGGAAUAACAGGGAUAGGAAAAUGUUUUUGACUAUUCUCUCCCGGAUUAGGAGUAGAAUAUUUUUGGGUGAUUCUGGAGAUGGAAAUGGAUAGAUAUAUGUGGAUGGUACUUCCGGAGUAGAAGUAGCAUAUAUGAGUGAACGUGCAAGUGAAUCUUGAUUUAACCACAUGACAAGCUCCUAAGGGUCUACACAGCUUGACCACACUCAACGCUCACAAGCAGUAAAUAGUAAAUGUGUGGCUCAAAGUCUAGCAAGCAUGUAUAUAUGGCUGUGGUAGGAAUUUAAACUCUCAUCAUACAGGAACUCAUCAUGCAAUAUUUUAAAGUUUUUUUAAAGAUAAAAUUCUCCAGAAUUCUAGCAUCUCUAGGAACAGAUAAACAGCAGCUCAACCUUCCCAUAUCAUAUCCGUUAACAACUUAGAUUUCAGAUCAAGUUUUCAUCCCACAAGUUUAGAUCUAGAGCAAGCUUUAAAUUAUAACAGUUAUGUCUAAACAUGAGAGAGAACUUCAAAAUUGCAAAUUAGGCAGAGCAACUAUUCAUCAUAUCCAUGCUAGAGUUUUAUUAUUAAGAUUCAGAUUAGCGUAGCCACUUUAUUUAUUUAUUAAACAUACUAAGCAAAAGAUAUAGAUAAGCACAAAAUCUUAAUUUGGUUUUUCAUAGUUUAUGUGUUUUAAUAUUCUAACAUAAUAUAAGUAUAAAGAUAGGUAGAAAUACUUAGCGAGAUAAAUGGGGGUGCUCUCCCCCAAGCUGAAUUUUGACGUAAUUUCUCUUGAUGUAGCUAGCAGGUGGCAGAGGUGUAUUUGAAAGUCAGCAGUAUUCUGACAGCGAUUAGAAUGUCCUCCGUCUGCUAGUCUUCUUGAUUCUUAAAUUCCGUGGAGCUCAAAUAGACAACAAAGCUUGUGGAACUAAUUAAGUGUUAGCAUAAAUAUCUAGCCUUCAUCAUGUUGAGCUUCCUUAAUAAAUGUUAUUUAUUUAGCAGGAUCAUAUACUUAUUAUAUUUUUUUUAUAUUUUUAUUGUAAGAUGAAAAACUUAUUUAUUUUAUUUUUAUGCCACCACAGUGAAUGUACUUAUGGGUUUUAUGUCAUGAGCAUACUCACAUGGGGCUUACUAUUUUUUAACAUUUUUAUUUUCUUUUCAAGAUAGCAUGAACCUGAUUAACUAAGUAAAUUAUAAUUGAAUAAUUGAAAGGGAAGGGUAACUACCAAGUUUACCUCUUGGCAAGGCGUUCGGUAUUUUUAAGUCCUCCGAAUGGGACUCUCUGUUUUCUCAGUCGUCCUGGGAUUCGCUAGGUGGCGUAGUCGGUGAUUCCGGCGGCGCCUAUCUUCGUGUAUAACUAUCUUCUCCCUCCACACCUGACUCGGUGCUAUGGUCUCCUCAGGACAGUUCUGUUCAAGCUGUAUGUCUUCAGUCCUUAUCACUUCUCCUUCGUAGUCUACCCAUCCGUUCUUGUUGAUUUGCCUCCUCUGGUUGCGGUUGUGUCGUCUUCUUGUCUUGAGCUGCUUAGAGUCUUCAACUAUAUAGUUAUGGUCAGUAAAAUAGUUGCGUACCUUCUCAGAGGGUAAGUACAUGUGGACUUCUCCGGUUCCAAUGUAGAUGAUUGCUUUGAUAGUGUUGAGGAACGGUCUUUCAAGGAUGGUGGGUGGAUCAUAUUCGUCUUCUCCCAUGUCAAUGACCUGAAAAUCAUCUGGAGCUGAAUAUAUUGGUUGUAGGGGCAUGGUUCCAUGUAGGAGCUGAUAAGUGACUACAGCCAUUAUGUUGUCAUCAGAUCUGGUGUCGUAGAGUGUCUUCUAAAAAGAGUAUCCAUUGAUUGCGCACUCGAUGCUUGGAACACCAGGGUCGUCCUUCUUGAUCAAGAAAGGUGACUUGAGUCGACGAUGUUGACCUCUUCCGACAAGGAUCCAAUGUUUUAAGUCUUCUGGACAAGACUUCUCACUGUCUUCAUCCUUUAGGUGCAUCAUUUGAUUAGGUAUAGACCUUGACGUCUGCACCUCUUGGUAUGGUGUCACCCAUGUUCUUCUUUGCCCAGCAGUUCGAAGUAUGGUGUUGGCAAUAUCCUGCUCAGUGUGUUUGUGCUCAUAGAUCCAGGUCCUUCACUUGGUGGAGUCUGGGAGUUGUAAAACUCCUUCACGUUUUGCUUGAAGUGUACCUGUUCAUAGAGACAAGGCAGAGAUCAAGUGCUUGGGCCCUGUUGGUGGAAAACACCAACAGAACCAAAAGUGUAUUUGUUCUUCUCUAACCUUAAGCAUAGUGAGCAAGACAAAGUUGAUGGAUCAUGAGUGUAGCAUUUAAAACAUUUGUAGAUCAGAUGGCUCAACCUAAUGGAAAGAUAAUCUAUCUAUAUUUAUGUUUUGUUUAUAUCUUCCGAAGAUGGAAUGUGCAACAUUUUAGCUUAUAUGAUUAGGAGUGUGGGAUUACGAAGGUAGUACUAAGAACAGAGAUUAAAGGACUAAACAUGUUAAAUUAAUUAAGUUGGUUAAUUUGGAGUUACAGAUCAUACAUGUUUGUCUCUUUAUUUUAUGUGAACGCCAGAACCAAGGAGAAGCUUAUAAAAGUGACAGUCAAGUACCUUAAGAUGUUACCUUAAUUGAAGAGUGAUGGUAUAGUAUCACCUUGUGGAAGCUUUCCUUUCUUAGCGGUUG